UUUUUUUUUUUUUUGCUUUCGUUUAAGAAACAAGGUUUAUAUGAUAAAUUGGUAGUUAUAAGAGGAAAAACAUUACAAGCCGUUUAUAAUUAUUGAAAGGAAAAGACUCAAAUAUGUCAUCGGACUUUGAGAAAACACUAAUUUAUAUUACUAGUUUGACUCAUUUAUGUCAAAAUUUGUUUUUACACGUAGUCAAUUAUGAUCCAGCCAUAUCGUUAAUUAAAUCACUUUUUAAAUUAGAAAAAACUCAAAUAUGCGAAAAUGUCCAGAAAUUGACAUAAAUGAGUCAAACGGACACUAUUUGAGCCUUAUCCCAUUAUUGAAAUACUCUUCAUGCACAAAUUAAUACAACAACAUAUCCAGUUUAAUCUCAUGAACAUCACACCUUACCCUUACCUCGGAACUCGGAGGUUGCUUCAGCCUUCAGAUAUGACCUUAGCUCAAGAAACAACAAUUCAAAGCAGAUCGAAAAAAUAAUAAUAAGGAAGUGGAGAAGCAUGGCAAUUCAUGCACAAAAUUAACAAGAGAGAAAAAAAGCUUUACUAGAAAGAGAGAAAUGUACAGAUGAGAAAGAAUGAGUGCAACGUUUGGAUUCCUUGCGGGCCUGCAAACACAGCCCAAUAAAACGGCCCAUUACAAAUGGGCUUGUAGAUAUCGUACAGAAAAAGCUUGGGCUUAGACAUGGGCUUGUAGAAAUUGCCGCCUUAAAAACGUCCCAUUAGCAUCAGUGACGCAUAUAUCACGUGAUUAGCCAUAUCUCUUAUCUAACUAUGGUAACUUUUCACCAACCAUGGUGACUUUUAACGCAAGUCCGUCCUCUGCCAGACUCUCCAAGAUCCUGACACCUGUCCGAUCAAACGGUGGUGAUUAUUUUUCCAUAAAUUAUCCGCUUUCACAUCUUCCUAUAUAAUAUUCUGUCUCGCUUAAACCCUAAGCACAAAUCGUACCAUAUUGUAAGUUUGAGAAACAUCUAGAGAGAAAUGGCAAAUCCAAGGGUUUUCUUUGACCUUACCAUCGGCGGUGCACCAGCUGGCCGCGUGGUGAUGGAGCUCUUCGCCGAUACCACUCCCAAAACCGCUGAGAACUUCCGAGCUCUCUGUACCGGUGAAAAAGGUGUUGGAAAGAUGGGUAAGCCUUUGCACUACAAGGGCUCAACCUUCCACCGUGUGAUCCCAGGGUUCAUGUGUCAAGGAGGUGAUUUCACCGCCGGAAACGGUACCGGAGGAGAGUCGAUCUACGGCGCCAAAUUCAAGGACGAGAACUUCGUGAAGAAGCACACCGGCACUGGAAUUCUCUCCAUGGCUAAUGCUGGACCUGGAACCAACGGUUCUCAGUUCUUCAUCUGUACCGCUAAGACUGAGUGGCUCGAUGGAAAGCACGUCGUGUUUGGACAAGUUGUUGAAGGCUUGGAUGUGAUUAAGAAGGCCGAGGCUGUUGGAUCUAGUUCUGGAAGGUGCUCCAAGCCUGUUGUGGUUGCUGACUGCGGUCAACUCUAGAUCUGAUGAUGAUGUUUUGAACGUUGAUGAUGAUCUAGUUUUAUCAGUCUUUUCUAUAUUUGAGUCGCCGUUUUAGGCUUUGUUUUUAAUUUCAACCUAUCUUUCCUGCUUGUGUCUUGUUGGGUCGGGUCGGGUCAAGUUCUAGGGUUAACCGUAAUUGGUUGUUGUGUUGCUUCUACCGGUUUAUGUUUAAUCUUAAGACUACAAUUAAAUAAGAUACUAAUAGACUUGCUGCUAAUCUCGAUUUUAUUGCUUAAUCUCCUGUUUUUGGUUUAGUGUAGUCUACUUUUGUGCUGAACCGAUAAUGAUGUGACCGACCUUUGACCGGUGUGGUUUGCGUGAAUUGUGAGAGUCUCUUUCUCAGAGCUGUGGGUCCUGAUUCGGAUUUUUAAAUUUGUGGUAUAUGGUUCGAAUAGAUUGGUGAGCGUGGUAUUAAGUAAGGUGGCCCUUGUGUCGUUAAUUAGCAUAACAAGAAAAGUUUGUCUAGACUGUUCCCCAAUAAUAGUAGUUGCUUUUUUUCCAUAAUAACUUCGGACUUUGCUAUAAAUUUACCCUUCCAAAACUAUACAAAACCAAGUUACGCGUUUUCCUUGGUUUAUUUCAACUACUAAAAGACGUAAUCCUAACUGAUUUAUUGACGAAAAGAACAUUUGCAUUAGUUUUUGCAGAGGAAAAAUGUUUGCUAAGGGUCUUGAUAUUGUUCUAAUUAACAGCCUAGUAACUAUCUAAUUACACAACUUCAGCCUAGUAAGUACCUACAUUGACCUGUUUGUUUUGAAAAUAAAGAUUAAGUAUUUAAAAUUAAAAUUUAUAUUAUACAAAUAAGGGCCUUUAUAAAUGAUAUUAAAUUGAAUAUUUAAGAUAUAUAUUGUCUUUUGAAAAUAUAUUAAUUAAUAAACAUAUGUUCUUAACUAAUAUUAUAAAAAAUAAUUGAUUUAUAUUUUCCAAUUUAGUAUAUUUUAAUUAAAUUAGUCAUAAAAACUAAAAGUAUAAAAUUUAUGUGAACAUCAUGAAAUGCAUGUUUGACAAAAAGAUUAAUAUUAUAAAUAUAAUGUCAUAAAAUUACAAAACAUUUGACAAAAAGAUAAUCUAUCAAGUGUAGCUUAUAAAAAAAAUAGCUUGCAAUGUAAAAUAUCGAGUCAAUACUCCUAAAACAAAUGAAAUUGAAAAUAUGACAUAGGUUUUAAAUUCAAAAUAAAAAAUUUAACAUAAUACUCUUGUCAAAUUUCAACAUAACAUACAUAAAUAUGAUUUAAAGAAAAUGAAAACGUAAGUCCAUAAUUUUAUUCAACAAUGAAUUCUACUUUAAUUUAAAAAUUAGAAUACUAGCAAAAUUAUACUAAUAAUUAUUUUAGAUAAUACGAAAAUUGCAUAGUAUCACAUGAAGUAAAGAUUGAGAAUAACAAAGAAAUGAAAUGUAAAUAAUAAAAAAAAAAAUUAGAAAAUAUAUAAAAAAAAAAAGAACUUAAUAAACAUAAAAAUACAUACAAACAAAAAAAAAUAAAAAUGGAAGAAAUUAAAAAGUAAACAAUUUGUUAUUAUACCAUGUAAUUAUCAGCAAUUCACAGUCUCCCUUGUGAAUUGGAGACUGAAGAGUAUAAUUACACCUAGCUAAUUACAUGACCAAUCAAACGGGACAGACAAUGUAAUUAUGCCAAAUUUAAUUACCAUAGUGAUUUUCCAAGCCGACCCUAAAAGAGUUUGUACCUCGGAAUAUUUUUUAGUUUUAUCUUAUGUAGCACUUUUUCAUAUUUUUCAAAAGAUAAGUUUAUAUAAUUGUAUAUCUAACACCAUACAUUUGUGUUAAAGUCUCUUUACUUUGUUGAGUUCCGUGCUAAACAACUUUUUUAUUUUUAUAUUCCGUGCCAAUCAAAAAUAUUUGAAGUAAGAUUCCAUUAUGCGUUUAUUAUAUAGGUAGUACUAAUUUUAGGAGCUUGAGGUCACUUCAGAAUGAUUAACUUGUCCUCAUAACAACACCACUUUAGUAUAGAUUAGUUUAUAUGAAAAUAAAUUUAUUUUAGGUGACUAAAUGAAAUAUGAAGACUUGUUUAGAGGAUCUUCUAAUGUAUUUAGCCAAUAUAUUAUUUAAUACAUCAAUAUAUCAGUACUUGCGAAUUUUUCUCUCAUUUGCCCUUCAACUUUAUUAGUCCAUAAAGGCAAAAUCAAGCUAUUUAGUAAUGAUAGGCUUUUUUUUAAUGAAUGACAAAAUUAUUCCAUUUGCAAAAUGUGGCAAUGGUGCACAUUUUGUUGUAUUGAUAUUCUCGACCUUGGGAUAAAAAUAGUCAAUGCUAGUAUUUUUCUUUUGUAGAUUGAACAUUAAUAGGCAUUUAGGGGAUUUAAUUAUUGGAAAGUGCUAAAUGACCAAAAAAUUUGGUCAAAAUUUAACCAGAAAAUUUAAAAAAUUAUUAUUUUUUUAUUUUUUUAAAUAAAUUGAUGUCUUUUCCUUUUUUAGUUAAAAAGUAUUAAAGUUAAAAGGAUAAAAAUAUUUAAAGAAGUAAAAUAACAUAUUUAAAAUAUCAUUUUGAUCAAAAAGAUUUUUCCUGAGGUUUUAGAGGUCCUUUUUAAGACCAUAUACAAGUGGCCAUGUGUCCUAGCAUCAUUUUCAGAAUUUGAAAUGAUUGGAUUCUAUGUUUCAAAAAACUUUUAAAAGGAAUUCAUUCGUAAAUGGGAAGUGGACAGCUUUUUAAUUGUAUUUUUUCUACCACAUUCAUUGAUACUGAAGUGAAUAUAUAAUCGGAUGCCUGUCAUGAUUUAAAAUUUAUGCUUUCCAACUUUAUUACGAAUUCAUAUCUCGUUUUAAUAAUUAAGUUUACAAUUAUAUGUUUGUAUAUAUUAAAUUUUAAAAUGUAUAAAAAUAUAAGAUCUAAAUAAAAAUUACUCCUUAGAUUCGUUUCUCCACUAUGGAGAAUAGUGGUUGUUUACUUUGAAAUUCUGGUGGAAACUAGUGGUCCUUGACCUCGCAGAACAUUAUUGGCUUCAAUGGAAGUUUAGGUCAUAUUCUUUAUUUCUUGGGGAUAUACCUUUUUAUUUUCAUCUAUUAAUAAAUGAAAAUUAGCUUUGUCUUUUAUUAUAUUAUAAUCCUAUAUAUUUGGCUAUUUGUAUUCUCGAUAUCACUAAAAUUUAUUAUUCUUAAUUGGGAAAAGGGUCUGAAAAAUACUCCAACUUUGGCCGAAAUUACUGUUACGAUACCAAACUUUAUGGAGGACCUUUUACCCCUUGCACUAUUUAAUAGUGUAUUUUAAAGGUAUAUAUGUGCUCACGUGAACACAUUACUAUUUAAAAAUGAGGCAAUAUUUAUGAUGUCCACGUAGACACAUAUAUACCUUUAAAAUACACUAUUAAAUAGUACAGGGGAUAAAAGGUCUUUUCCAAAAUUUGGUAUCGUAACAACAAUUUCGAUCAAAGUUCAAGUAUUUUUUAGACUCUUUUCCCUUCUUAAUUUGACGUAUCACUUGAAAUCAAGCUCAAUUUUUCAAUUUCACUUAAGUAAUCUAAUUUACUUGCUUUUGUCUUUUGCAUGGCUCGAUCCACUAAACAAAUUAGACCCAUAGGAUGAACUAUUAAUGUUUAUGUAUUAAAAUUUUCAUUUGAUUUUGAAGAUUUAGCUAAGAAGUAGAUUGAAUGGAGUUGUUGGGUUCGAAGUGAUAAUUUCUGUUGAAAAAAUAUUGUUAGUUGUACUGUGAAUUUUGAUCCUAAAGCUACGUACAUUCAAUUUGCACUGUGAAUGAAGCUCGAAAUUUGAGGUUAAGUUUCUACAAACGAACUUUAUUUUAAGUGAACAUUUUACAAAAGCUCAUGAAGAACGCCUAAGGGAGUUCAUAUUUGAAAUUUGGGAUUUCUUGAAGAAUGAUUUUUGAGUGAACUUCAACUGCAAAGUAAUGGGGGAAGAAGAACAAAAUAAAAUUUCAGAAUUAGCCACCCAAUAUCACUAAGAAUUAAUUUGUACAUUAUUUUGAAAUCUCACGAAUGAACAUCCUAUUCCUUAAUCUCUUGAAUUAUAAUGAGCAAUACAAGAAACUUGAUGUAUGAAUCAAUAGCUUGAAAAUAUGUAUCUUCGUGUUUAUGUUUUUUCAAUACUUUAUAUAUAGUUCUAGUUGUUUUAAAAGGCGGGGCGUGAAGCGAAAUGUUUUAUACAGUACAUGACGAGGCGUAAUCCCCGAGACACGGGGAGUAAGUCCCACGGAUCUACGGGGCGUAGUCUCAUAUAUAUAUUCAAUUUUAUAGUUUUAUUACUAAUAAAAUAAGCAAAAGUAAACCUUUCAAUGAUUUAUGAUUUUUAUUUGAGAUAAGUAUUAAUAAUCAAUAACGAAGAAAAAAAGUAUUAUAAUUACUAUUUGAGAAAUAUCAUUACAUCUAUAAUAAAAAUAUGAUUUAAAGCAAAAAAAGUUCAAAAAAAUAAAUUAAAAACACUCGGGCGUACGUUUUUACGCCCAAGACUUACGUUUUUAUGCUCGGGGCUUACGCCUCAGAUUUUAGGACUUACGCCUUAUGAAUCUACGUCGUUAAUUUAUGCCCCGAAGCAUUUUUGGUACGCCUCACCCCGAGACUCGCCCUGGGACUCACCCCAAAAACGAUUUUGAAAACACUGGUUCUAGUUUUAUAUUAUCUACUUUUUGGUGAAAAAUAUGUAAGUAUUUUCUUAUAAAUUCUUUUAAAGAAUUGCAAAAAUGAUUUCUUAAUUGCAACAGUCUUUAGACACGUUCAUUGCUUCUUAUAUUUUACCUUGACAAUGUUUCAAGUUGGUUCUAAACUAAUUUAUGGUUGGUUUAAUGUAUUCUUGGCUUUGUAGGAUCUCUAUUUUACUUAUUUUGAUUACAUUCCAUGUAAACUAAGCAUAAUCAUUAAAUAUAUAUAGAUGUCUAAAAUAAUCGCAAGCGGCUCCUGUCCAGUAGAGCUUCUGUCUAUUUCCUCCCGCGGAGCACUAGAUUCUUUACACGUAUUUCAUAAAUAUUUUAAUGAAUUGAUGUAAUCAUCCUUUAACCAGGGUUAAUUAUUUUUACAAUGGUCCUUCAUCUCUUUCCAAAUAUUUAUAUUUUCAUGACCAAAUAGUAAUACAUCGUCUCUGUCGUGCUGUCCUCUCUAUUCUUUUUGUUUUUGAAAUUUUUUAUUUAUAUCCUCUUCUCUAUUUGUAGUAUGAUUUUUAAUUCAAAAUAAAAGAUUUUAACAUAAAAAUAAAUAACAAAACCAAUAAACAGAUUGCAAAAUUAACUUUUUUUGAAAAUUCACUUUGAAAAAAGAGGGGCAACAAAGCAACACAUAAAUAUUGAAAAUCUCAAUUUGAUCGAUCUCUCAAUGCGCAGAAAGACAAUAUACAAUUCCUAACACAAUUUUUAAUUUCAGCCUAAUUUAAUUAUCUAAUUUCACUAAAGAACAAAAUCGUGACAAAGUCUUAUGAAAAAAUCAUCAAAAACAGAUCGAUGAUAAUAAAUUCCACUAUUUUGUGAAGUUAUUUUGAUGUACCAUGUCUUCCUCCUUAAACACUAUUAAGAGAUAGUUAAGAUGAAACAGAGGAAAGAGAGAGACGUUUUUUUUUUCUUUUGGAGACGGAUAAAAAAAAGUUAAUCCUAGUUAAAGAAUAAAGGGAAAAGGCUCAAAAAUGCCUUUAACGUAUUAGAAAUGGUUCAAAAAUGCCCUCCUUUCAUCUUUUGAUUUUAAAAUGUCUUAACGUUUUGUUUAGGUUCAAAAAUACCCUUUAGUUAACAGAAAUAUGACAUGAAAUUUUACAAAACAAAUGGUCAAUUUUCAUUGGUCCACGUCAAAUAAAAAACCCUACUCAAAUCCAAAUCCAAACCCGUUUCACUGGCAAAAAAUAUUAAAGCCAGAAAUCUUGGAGCAUGCCUUUUUGCUGAAACUCUAUACUAUCAGUUUUCACAAAAUCCACAACUAUGCUCGUGGAAUUGCUUGAAGCCACUCUUCCCUACUAAUUCUUUGAAGGACAACAUUCAAAACAUUGUUUCAUAGAUUUUCUUUAGCGAAAAUAGCAAUCGAUAUACCAGUAUGCCCAUCAAAAAUAAAUUUAGUAAAUUCAUACGAGAAAACUGAUGUUGUAGCUAUUUCAUAGGCAAUUAACAGAUUUACAAAAGCAUAUGUGAUAAAAUUACUGCGUAAACUGAAGAAGAGAUCAAUGAAAUCCUCUAAUGAUCAGGCUUAAUCAAGAAAUAGUCUUCCCCUUUCUUUGCCAAAGCACCGAAAUUAUUUUUUGCUUCAUCUUCCUAAUUCCCGCCUCACUAAUUCUUUCACUCUCUGUUCAGACACUAUGCAAAUUCUAAUUCCCCGAUUUCGAUAAAACAAAACACAAUCCCUCAAGGAACGGGUAAAAGAUGCAAGGACUAAUCAAAAACGGAUUUGGGUUUAGAUUGAGUGGGUCUUUUUAUUUGAAAAAAAAUGAUGUGGAUCAAUGAAAAUUGUCCAUUUGUUUUGUUAAAUUUCAUGUCAUAUUUCUGUUAACUUAAGGGUAAUUUUGACCAUAAACAAAAUGUUAAGGACAUUUUUAAACCAAUAGGUGGAAGCAAGACAUUUUUGAACCAUUUCUAAUACGUUAAGGGCAUUUUUGAGCGUUUUCCCAAGAAUAAAACAAAUCAUUCCAUUGAAAUAUAUACGGGACACGUGUAAAGCAUCUAAUGCUCCACUGGAGAAAAUGGACAGAACCUCUACCGGACAGAAGCCGCUUUUGAAAUAAUCAUCAUAUACUAGUGCUAGAUGUAUAAAUCAUGUCGAUUAAUUUUAUCAUUCUGCUUUAUUGAAUUGGAGGUUCAUCUUAGACCAUCAUAAUGGAGAAGGUGUACAUUUGAGCCAAUUGAAUAAUGAUAAAAGUAAAAAUAUAAGAGAGAUUAAUUCUUUUCGCAAAAUAGAGAGAAAAAAGAAAUGGACUCUUUUUCUAUUCUAAAAUGUUUAAAACAUGAGUCUUUUAAGUAUUAGAGUUAGUGUCUGUGGACUAAUCAAUAUGUCGCCCAUUUGCGAAAGUGUAUAGACUGUAUACUAAAGUUUUCAUUCUUAUAUGCAUAGAGAUAGAUUUGUCAAACUAAAUCAAAUACCUAAAUUAGAAUAUAGAUGAUUCUAAUGAAAAAUAUAUAUUAAUUUUAUAAUCAGUUAAUUUUUUUGAGAGUUGCCACAUCUUUAUUAUUAUUAUAGAAGCCAGGAUUUGAACCUCCCCAAAUCUCACUCCCCCCUUCCCAAAAAAAACAUCUAAAAGUAAAUAACUAAUGGGCAGUCGAUUAAAAUUUAUUUAAAAGCUAAUUAUAAAGGAUUUUGUAUCCUGAAAGUGAAUUAAAAUAGAAUAAUAAAUCGUGAUGAUUUAAAUUUUGAAUCAUGAUUUCACGAGGGAGACUCUGUGAUCUGAAAACGUAAUUAGGUAUCAUUUAGAUUUUGUUACUCCAUUUUAAAAUAUGUAUUAAAAAUUAAUUUAAUUAAAUCAAAUAGUGAAAAUAGCACAUUAAUUAUAAUUAAUUUAGAGAUGAAAGGGAAUAUGCGGCAGCAGCCUGAUUAGGGUCAGUUGGGUCACAGCUCACACCCUUUUUGUUUGUCGGGUGACGUUGCCUUCUUCGUUAGACUCGUUACCGUUAUCUGAUCAUUUUCCAAAAGCUCAUAUUAACGGCGUUAAGUUUACUCCAUUUUUCACGUCUAACAAAAAUAGUCCCCGCGUAACACACAACUUUGAAGGAGGAGGAGGAGGAAGAUAAGUUUGAGUUAUUGGGGAGGGAGAAGAGAAAGAGAAUUAUCUGAAACUGUAGUUUAAUUUGUUCUUCAACUGUUUCAGAUCUCCCUCUCCCAAUUCCCUUGUAAGAAUUUUGUGGAACUAACAUUCUUUCAGGUUUUGUAUAUGUUUACAUUUUUGACAGUGUAUCUGUAUAUAUACAUACAGAAGAAGUAGGAAGGGUAUAUAGUGGAGGGAUUAUUCUUACAGAUUGAUUGUUUGAUUGUGUGUAUGUAUAUAUAUUGAAGAAGUAAGAAUAUGGGUUAUUCGGAGAACACAACUGGUUUAGUUCUAGCAAUGGUUUCAAGCUUGUUUAUUGGAACGAGUUUUAUCUUGAAGAAGAAAGGUCUCAAGCGUGCUGCUGCUGCUGGCACUCGAGCAGGUCUGAAAAAUAAAAUAAAAACUCUUUUCUGUUAGAUCUUAACUUCGGUUUAUUAGUCAAUUUACUGCUGAUUGAAUUGGGAAAAUCUGUUCGCUUGCUUGAUUUCUCAUUUAUUUUGUGUAUAUGUAAUUGCUCCUGGAUUAAAGUUGCAGUGCUUGUAUGGAUGCACAAUUCCAGUAUUUAAGGAUGGAAUUGAGUUGAGAAAUUGUUCUAUGUGUGAUAUUAUUGAAAUGAUGUAUCAAUUAACUGCGAAUUAUUUGGCUUAUGAACUGCUUCAAUGUGUGAUAUUAGUGAAAUAAUAUAUCAAUCAACUGUGAAUUAUUUGGCUUAUGAACCGCCGUAUCCAUUCCUCUAAAUUGAGGCCUGUUCGAUAUUCAAAAGAUUCAUUAUAGUCGGAUUACUUCACACUGACCAUCCCUCCUCCUUUAUCAUGGCUUAGGACCAGAUAUGCGUUGUGAAACUCACAAGGGCAAAAUUAUAUUAGUGAAAGAGUGUACUGCAUUUAAAAUUCAUUAUUUGGUGUAUGUUGUUAUUCUAUAUAGUACUUAAUUCCUAAGCAUGUUUAUGACAUUGUAUAUCUUCAAUAUAGGGUGAACUGUUCUGUUCAAUUUGUUGUAUUUAUGUUGGUUCUACUUUGAUUGAUCAUGACAAUCUUUUUUAAGGGUGUACAGUUCUUUGUUCCUUAAUUGGGUUGGUAGAUACCGUAUGGUAAACAGUGCUACUGACAUACAACUAGAGCUAAGUUUACUAGGAUUUUGCUCAUUUCGGUGGUGGAUUCAAUUUCUUUAAGGAUCACUUUCAGUCAGGUCUUACUGUUCAGGCAUGUGUUGGAAACAGAAAUGAAGUGGGGGAUGGAACACAUGAAAAGAAAAGAAAAAAUCUAGAAAUCCAAUAUUUGGAAAUGGACAGGAAAUGCUAAAGUAUCAAAUAUGAGGUCUAAAGGCAAACUAUUCAUCUUAACGUUUUCCUGCCGUGUCUGUUGACAACGUUUCUAACCCCAUUAGGUCCAUUCUUUUUCUGUUUAGAGGUUACAUGAUGUGAAUUGGCGAAUUGGAUCCUUGACAUUCACGUUUCUAACCCCAUUGUCAGUUACUUUAAUUUAAACCAUGAGUAGGAAGAUUGAUAAAUAAUACUUAGUUUUCUAGCUGAUUAAAUUUUUGCAACGCCAGUUUGAACAGCUUCUAUUCUUAUUCAUGAUCUUGCCAAUCCAUUACAUAAUAUGAGAAGAACCAUUUUUCGGUUGGACAUUAUCGUGCAAGCAGAAGCUUUUAUCCAUGAAGUACUUAUGAGUUCACAAGGAGUAAUCUAUGGCUGUACUUGUAGCGGAGCAUAUUUUGCUUGAAAGUUUAUACUGUUUUGUUUUUCAGACUGCAGUCUAGCGUGUCAAUUUUCCAUUUAGUACUUUAAUUGGCAAAAUAACUUUAACAUUUUCUUUCGUAUCCUUUUUCCUUAUUGUAUACUUUGUCAAUUUCAAUUCGCCUGGUUAAACAGUUAUUGGUGACUGUGAUCUUCACUGCAGGAGUUGGAGGCUAUACUUAUUUGCUUGAACCCCUUUGGUGGGCAGGCAUGAUUACAAGUAAGUGCAUCAUGAGUUGUCUCCACGAGUAAACUUCAUUCAGGUUAAAUAUGCAUUAGUAUUGUUGUGGUCUUAAUGACAUUUGGAUUUGGAUACGCAGUGAUUGUUGGGGAGGUUUCCAAUUUUGUGGCCUAUAUUUAUGCUCCAGCUGUUCUUGUGACCCCACUUGGUGCGUUGAGUAUAAUUAUCAGGUGAGAUUUUGAAGUCUUAUGUGCUGUUUUGAAACUCUGUCAAGGAACUCCUGCUGAUGUUUCCAUAACUAACCUUGGUGAAUCUGAAUAGUGCUGUCUUGGCACACUUUAUGUUGAGGGAACGGCUACAACGAUUAGGUGUAGUGGGAUGCAUAUUGUGCAUAGUAGGAUCUGUGGUAAUUGUUAUACAUGCACCUCAGGAGCAUAUGCCAACUUCUAUACAAGAAAUCUGGAUUUUGGCAAUUCAACCAGGUCUGAAUUUUUAGUGUUUUUUCCUGUUUAUCUUGCUAUAGGUUAUGAUUUUUCUCUCUCCUUUGAGCUCAUUACGAAUUUCUCCUUCUGAUUUUGUCUGCAGCAUUUGUGAUUUAUGUGGCAGCAACAAUAUCCAUAGUAGCAGCUUUGAUGUUUCAUUAUGAACCUCGUUAUGGGCAGACAAACAUGCUGAUAUAUUUGGGAAUAUGUUCCUUAAUGGGUGCACUUACGGUAAUUAUGUUUUCUUCUAGGCUUCUUCAAGUCAUCAUCUUUAUUCCUACUUAGAAUUUGUACGCUACGUUCUUCUUGGACAUAAUGCAGUUUUGCAGACGUGAACACUUUCCAAGCCCGUCAAGAUGUUUCUGUGGCUUUCUAUUAAUUUAUUGUAUUUGCAGGUUGUCAGCAUAAAGGCUAUUGGAAUUGCAAUAAAACUUACUUUGGAAGGAAUUAGUCAGAUUGCCUAUCCGCAGACUUGGUUUUUUCUAGCUGUUGCAGUAAUCUGUGUCAUCACGCAGUUAAAUUAUCUAAACAGGGUAAUGGCAUAAUACUUUCCAGCUUGACUGAGAUCUGCUGUAAUCCGUCUGAUAAGUCAUUUGCAUUGCCUUUCCUAGCGUGAAUUCCCAAUUCUCUAAAACAACUGCCUAUAUACAGGACUAGCUCAGACCAUACGUCAUGUGUAUAUAUGAUGUCAGUUCCUCUGAAUUUGAAUGUUACUCCUAUUGUAGUUAUUUGUCUUUAUGAUAUCCAUGUAAUGGUAUCAAUUCUUGCAGAGUAUUUUUUGUGAAUGACACGAAUAUAAAACAGAGAAUCAAUACUUGAUACCAACAGUGCUACAAUAUUUGCCAAGUCUUUACAUUCUAUCUGUGUUUCAACUUUUGUGAUUUGGCAAUAAACUUGUUGCUCUUUCUUGUGUGAUAUGUGAGCUGUUUUAAUAUCUGAAACAAGUGCUCUGGUUGGGAAUCUAGCAAAAAGCUGCUUCACAUUAAAACUUUCCUUAUUACAUGAACCUUGAGAUGCUCCUUGACCAUUACAAAGUGCAGUAAAUGGGCAGUGCAUGCUAUUAUGCUUAAUUUUUGGUUUUGCAAUUUAGCGAUAUGCAUGAUAUUCAGGAUUAUUCACAUGAAUUUUUUUUUUUUGGGGGUGGGGUGGGGGGGAGUGUCUGAAGCAUUUUCUAACAUUUAUGCAUCAUUUUGAUAGGCACUGGAUACAUUCAAUGCUGCAAUUGUUUCUCCAAUAUAUUAUGUAAUGUUCACCACUUUGACCAUCAUCGCAAGCGCAAUAAUGUUCAAGGUAUGUUAUCAAUUUGAAGCUAUUCUUUGUUGUGGUCCUCUAUUAAUAUGUAUACAGAGUAAAGGCUGUGAACCCAUCAUUUGCUUUGUUAUAUUUCUUUGCAGGACUGGGCUGGGCAAGAUGCUAGUAGCAUAGUAUCUGAGAUCUGUGGAUUUAUCACAGUUCUUUCAGGAACAAUUUUACUCCACCUGACUAGAGAACAAGAACCAGCAAAUCCACCAGGUAAAGAUUGUAGUUGAAGCAUGUGCCUGCUACCCAGCUAGCUAUAUAAGUCGUAUGUCUCUCAUCUUGAUGUAUGUAUAUCCUUGAUAUCAUGCAGUCUAAAAUCUUUUAAAAUGUAUGGCAUUGGAUCUGUAUGUCUGCAAUACCUAAAAACAUAUGUUGAUUUGGGUGUAAUUAUCCUAUUUUAGUUUAGGUCAAUUUGACUACUUAUUUUCAAUGAAACUUCUAAAUUUGGUUACUUUGUGUUUUUCUGAUUUCAAUGAAGAUGGUAAGGAACACAAAUAAAAUAAUCGAACCUGUACUCCGCCUGAUUUUAGUCGACCUUUCACCAUGAUUAUUCCUUCUCGUUAUGGGGCUAGACCACAAAAGGAGCACACAUCUUUACGCUGCAGCAUAUGGUGAAAUAGUGAGAUUAGCUGCUCUAAUUUUUCUUAAUUGGUGCACAUGCUCUUCUAAUUUUGGGUACUUGGUUCUAUGGUUAAACAUCUUAAAAGAGCAUGCGUUUCCAUCAUGUGACACAUUAGCAUCCUUUCAUUGACAUUGGGACCAAUGACUCCCUUGAGCUUGUGAUUGGCAGAAAUUUUAAGCACUUGCUGGCAUUAAUUUUGAUGUUAUAGAACUUUCAGUAGAAGCUCAGGUCUGGAGUAUACUUUAUGUUCUUGGAAAUGCUUCUGUAGAAGCUAGACUUGGAACUCCAAAUUGAAGCCUCAAUAUAUUUAUACGACUCAAAAGUAUUGCAAGUUUGUGCUUAUAAUACAUUGGUUUAUGCAGGAAAUAUAUCGUGGUAUGAUGGAGAAGAUAUAAAAGUUAUGGAGGAUGGACAUUACAUAAUGUUGAAUGAUUCAAACUAUUUCCGCUGAUAUCAUCUCAUAGAUCUACAUUCUAUAUUUCGACUGCAAAAGUUGCUGAUGCUUGAUUUUUGAGCAUUCUUGCUUAAGCUCAGCAAUGUUGAGCUUUAGAACUGGGAGAUGAGUUCUUCUACAAGCACAAUUUUGGGAAAGGCUAUUGAGUUGAAGUCACCUUGUAACUGAAGCUUGGCAUGGAUCCUUGCUGAGCUGCUGUUCAAAUUGAGGUUUGUACAUACCCGGUGAUGUCUCUUCAUUCAGUUGGUUGUGUAGAGUAUUUUAGUUGAUUCAUGUUGUAAUUUAUUGUGCCACCAAAUUGGUGCAGACAUAUUAGGAGUUUUUUAGUGUGAGAAUGUUGCAUAGUGAAGAAGGUUACAGCAGUAAGUUAGAUCAUGUAUUUUCGGAGUUCAUGAUUUGGAAAUCUGGCCUGCUUAUUGACGGGUAAUGACCCGACCCUGCUUAGUUCUUGACCCGUCACUCUUUAAAAUCUGUUUCAUAUUUUGUAUGGUGAGCUAAUUAAUUUCACAUCUAAGAGUAAAUUUGUUCUUUUUGUAGACAAAUUAUUCUCAUAGUUAGACAAUUACUAUCAUAAUAUUUUUCCUUGUAAUUGAUAUUUUUAGGACUCAAUCAUAAUUAGUAAUUGUCGUUUGAUGAUAAGAUUAUGAAUUACUAUCACUAUGUAUUAGACUCUAUUUACUAUUUGUGAAUUCAAUUUAAUAAUUUUUAGUUUGGUAAGAGUAACAAGAUACUCAACAUAUUGCAAAAGCUUGACGAAAUUAUUAUUAAGGAAUUUAAUAAAUCAUUAAACCUCUUACUAAAUUCAAUCGGUAUAAUCUUGUUUUAUAUUAUCAGUCUUAAAUCGGUAUAAAAGAGGCCUAUUGCCCUAAAAACUGUGAUAAAUCCUAGCACAAGCUCUCACUAUCUUCUUUUUUUCAUAACACUCUUUCUUAUUUUUUCAAGUGUUUCUACUUGGUGGUUUUCCUUUUCCCUCUUUAUUUUCUACUCAUCAAUAAAUUAUUAUGAGGAUUACCUGUAAUUUCUUAGUUAUUACACCAAGAUAUGGAAUGCAAUAUUUGUGGUCUACAAUUACACAUUUACACGUCUUGAAUAAAAAAUAAAAAAAAUUAUAUAAUCAACGCAAAGUCCUUUUCCUUUCAGAUGAAGGAGUUAAUCUCCACCGUUGAUCAAAACGAAUCUAUUCCGUAAAAUCGUUUCUUAUCGAACGUUUACCCGUUGGAUUAAAUCAACGGAUCCUCUUAUAUGUAUAUUAAAAAAACCCUAUUUGUUCGCUUGAAACGAAAGCGAAUUCUCUCAAAAAAAACCUACACAGAGAUAAACAGUCCAAACAGCAAUAGCAAAGAGCAAACAUGGCGGCAACCGUGAGCGCGUGGGCAAAACCAGGCGCGUGGGCACUUGAUUCGGAGGAGAACGAGUUGGAGCUUCAAAAGGAAGAGUCAGUGAAGGUUGAAAAUCACUCCAAUGGCGGCGGUGCCGGUGGCCUUGCCGAUUUUCCAUCUUUGGCUGCUGCCGCCACCACCAAAACGAAGAAGAAGAAGCCACAAACCCUAUCCCUUCAGGAGUUCAGCACUUAUAGCGCUGCUAAGAAGUCUCAAACUGCCGCCGCUGCCGCAACCAAAGGCCUGACACCGGAGGAAGUCUUGAUGCUCCCCACCGGUCCUCGCGAGCGCACUGCGGAGGAACUUGACCAGUCUCGACUCGGAGGUGGUUUCAGAUCGUACGGUUACGACAAUUCCAUCUUUGGCCGCUGCUGCCACCACCAAAACGAAGAAGAAGAAGCCACAAACCCUAUCCCUUCAGGAGUUCAACACUUAUAGCGCUGCUAAGUAAUCUCAAACUGCCGCCACUGUGGCAACCAAAGGCUUGACACCGGAUAAAGUUUUGAUGCUCCCUACCAGUCCUCGCGAGCGCACUGCGGAGGAACUUGGCCAGUCUCGACUCGGAGGUGGUUUCAGAUUGUACGGUUACGACAGGUAAAGGGGGAGGGGUUCGUCGGAUGAUUCUCAUAGGCAGGGAGGGUUCCGAAGGGAUACCGAUAGGGAAAUUGCUCCCUCUCGUGCCGACGAGACUGAUGAUUGGGGUGCAGCUAAGAAAACAUCGGCUGGUAAUGGUUUUGAAAGAAGGGGGGAGAGAGGUGAAAGGGGAGGUUUUUUCUCCGAUUCCCAGUCUAAAGUUGAUGAAUCUGAUAAUUGGGCAGCGAAUAAAGCUUUUGUACCCUCUUCUGGUCGAAGAUUUGAUAGGAGAGGGAGUUUUGGGUCAAACGGAAGUGAUUCCGAUUCGGAUCGGUGGACCAAAAGGAAGGAAGAGGAAGGUGGACGGAGAUUUGCCUCCGGUGGCGGUGCAUUCGACAGUUUAAGAGAAAGAAGGGGCGGCUAUGAUUCCAACGGUGGCGUGGAUUCAGAAAAUUGGGGGAAGAAGAGAGAAGAGAACGGAGUUUCUGCUGGUGGUGGUAGGCCAAAGUUGAAUUUGCAACCAAGGACAUUGCCGUUGAGUGAAGGACAGCAGAACGGUAAUGAGCCUGCGCCUGUGCCUGUCCCUGUGGUGAAGCCGAAAGGGGCUAAUCCAUUUGGGGCAGCUAGACCAAGAGAGGAGGUAUUGAAGGAGAAGGGACAGGAUUGGAAGGAGAUUGACCAAAAGAUUGAGUCUUUGAAGGUAAAGGAGGCUUCUGAGUCCAUUGAUGGUGCUCCGAUUGUAAAGAAAGCUUGGGGGAGUCCUAACGGGAAGCUGAUUUUUCGCGAGGACAAGACCGAGAAGAGUUGGAGGAAGCCCGAGCUGAAUGAAGUUCCUCCUUCCAGGUCUGAUGGAUUCUUAUGUUAGAUUCUAGAUUUAUCAACUCUUGUCGUAUGUUGACUUCUGUUUAAUUUUUCGUGACUUCAUGGAUUAUUACUGCUUUCUAUUCGCAAAACAUUCUGUGACUAGUUAAUUGGUUAUAGAUAUUUGUGUAGCCUUGUUUAGGGGUUUAACAAGUUAUGUUAAGCUUACUUUUAUUGUUUGCUGAAUUUCCCUAAAUCUAACUCCCUAUACUCCCAUAUGCUAGAGCAUGGUGUGUACCAAGUAUGAUGUAGUUGUGUAUUCACAUAGUCCAAGUGUAGUUGUAAAGCCAUCGAUUACACUAGUUUUUUAUCUGCUUGCUUGAUAUUGAAUGAUUAUUAACCAGCUCUUGGACCUGACACUCAUUGGUAGGACUUAGUGAACAACCUUGGUGUCGAGCAAUGCAGUAAAAAGCUGCCUUCCCCUUUUUCCCAUGUAUUGGCCUCAGAGGAACAUUUGUAUUCGAUGCAUUUCCUCCUAAUUUAGGGUAAUAAAGUGGGGGUUUGGAUGCAAAAUGUAUACAUAUGAUUUUGUACAAACUCUAACUAACUUGUGAAAAGAAUGAGGCUUUAAAAUGCUUGAUGUGCUGAUUCUUGCUUCUGGUUAGUGCAUUUUCUGGCAAGGAGUCAACUUGGAGUCAGAUAGGAUUGGGUCGAUUAUGCUGUGGACGGGGGAACUUUCUCUCUUGUUCCUCUGUUUUGUUUGAGCCGCAGCUUUGGGUUUUACAUACUUUGCUGAUUGUGCACCAGUCUUGUACCUAAAUGACAUGGUUCCUGACACUCAUUUUUGUAAUGUUUUGUUGUAGUGCUGAGGAAACUGUAAACGGGGCUGUUGAAGAAACUGUAAAGGAAACUGCUGAAUCUGGUGGUGAGCCACAAAUAUGAUGCCAAAGGAAGUAAAAGUUUAUGAGCUAUGUUUCCUUCAGAGUUUGAAAUAGAUUCAUGUGAUGCGAAGCAUUGAGGCAAUUUUGAUAGAACUUGUUAUUCUUAGUGUUUUGUUUUCUGUGUACCUACACCAACAUUAUCAUUUUGCUAUUUAUGUUUGUUCUUUUUUCUGUUGACUCAGUUUAGAAUUGUUUGUUCUUAAGCAUCAUUCUUAGGUGUGGAACACAAAGGGGAUAAAGACUGUUAAAGAUGAUAGAUUUUGAUUUUUGAUCACACUUAAUUUUUUUUUGGACUUUUUCCGUAUUUCUUAUCAUGUUCUGUUCUUCUUCUUGUUAGUAUAAAAUAGAUGUUCUAAAUUCUAACUGGAAUGAAGAUUCAUCUUUAUUGAACUCUCGUCUCUUCACUCUGCUUCUUCUAGACUUUAAAUUUAAGAAAUACUAACGUUUUGUCUCUAGUAGGUUAAGCUUUAAAUGAGCUUUCUUUUAAUAACAUAUCAUGAUUAGUACAAAAAUAUCAAUAUUUCAUCGGAUAAUAGAAUAUAUGCAUAUUAUCUGUUUUUGAAAUGUUUUUGGUUCGAGUAACACAUAUCAAAGAAGUUAGAAUAAAAUGGUAAUGUGUGUUAUAGUUUAAAUUCUUUGGACAACAUGAUCAUUUGCUGUGUGUUCCCUGGUUUCGAGUUGGUCGGCAAGAGAUCAAAAGGCAUUAUGAUAAGAAACUGUAACUUCGAUUUUCUUAAAGAACUAUUUGCAACAAUUUCACCUAACAUCUAAAGCUAAAGCUAUAUUGGAACUAAAACGUAAUUGUCAACUAUUUCCCUUAUCAUUUUACAACAUUUAUAGAUUUUUUAUAUAAAAUAAGCUGACAACUUUAUUCUAAGAAAAAAUAGGUCCAUUCAUUAUCCAAGAUACGUGGCGAUCUUCAGAUUACAUAUUUUAUCUUCAAAGAUAGAUUAGUCCUUUUGCGAUGUGUUGACACGUUAAUUACAUUACUAUUAAGUAAUAAUGUCUCUAAUUAUCAAUCAUAAUACAUUUUCAUGGUACGACAGCACAUCAUUGUGUCAUUUGUAGUUCUAUUGUUAUUGUUUUCUUUAGCUAAUGUUAUUCAUGAACACGACUCGGACGGCUCUCUAAUAUGUUAUGCAUCAACCAAGGUAAAUUUACAAAUGGAAAUCAAAUUAAAGAGUGCUAUGUAUGUAAUUUUAUUUCUACUUUUAUUAAUAGAUCCUCAACUCAAGUAUAUUAUACUCCCUCUAUUUCAAAAAAAAGUGACCUAGUUUGAGUUGAUACGGAGUUUACGAAAAUAAAAAAGCCUUCAAAAUUUUAUGGUCCUAAAUUAAAAUUAUGUCAAAUAUACAAAAUUGUUCUUUAGUCUUGUGGCCUUAAAAAUGGUACGUGAAAAGCUGAAAUUAAAAUAUUACCAAAAAAGGAAAGAGAUCAUUCUUUUGAAACAGACUAAAAAAGAAAGUAUCAACUUAGGUAUAGGAAAAAAAAUCAAAUGUAAGAAAUAACAGUAAACAAUAAAUAGUAUGUUGAUUAAAACAAAAGAAGAGAAAAGUAAUAACAAUUUUGAUAAGAAAAAUUAGAUAAUCAACUAACCAUCAACCGUAAGAGAUACUAUUAUAUAAUUACUACACACACAUCAACCGGAUAUCCCUUUAUAACACAAAAGUGGACCUGCUUUUUACUCUGCUUGUCAACGUUCAACUGGAAACUGCAUUACUCAACAAGAUGUUGUCUAUUAUUAUUGCAUAUUUACACUUUAUGUUUCCUCAAUUUGAAAGUCAUAGCUGUAAUUGCAACUUUCUUUCGUUUCACAUUUGUAUUAUUAAAUAAAUAAUUCAUUUUCUUAUGAGCAAUUCUUGUCACAUGAGACAUAUGACUCUUGGUUUAAUUUUUAACGAAUGCUUAAUAAUGAUGUACAUUGUAGAAAGAAUAUGGGAGCUUUAUUUCUAUUUGUCCCUCAAAGUCUGUCUUACUUAGUCCUAAAAGUACAACUAUCCACAUUUCUCAACGCGUGAUCGAAAGUCCUAAAAGAGAAUAAUUGUUAUUGCGUACAUGCCUCAACGCUUGAUCCAAAAGUAGUUGUACAAUUAAGUUGUAAUGGGUCAUCAAGAAUCUUUAAAAUUGACACUUUAAUUAAAAACAAUUAUAUUCAUGGUUCCUAAAACACAUGGAUACAUUAAUUUGAAGGAUAUUUAAGUGAUCAUGAAACUAAGUUUCUAAAAGAGUAGUAGUUUAAUUUGCAAUUAUGUCUAUAAUUAUGUACCAUCUGUACAUAAAGCAGUAUGGUAAAUAAGAAUGGUUGGUGAUUGCAAUAAAUUGAUUUAGUUUGCAUGAUAAAAAGCUGGAUCACAAUGAUUUUUACCAUGUCUUAAAUGAAUUUCCGUACCCAUAUUGUGCCUCCGUCCCAAAAUAAAUAUAUGGCUUAAGAAAAUCAAUGACAAAAAUAACAAUAACUGUUUUAUACUAUAUCCUUAUGAGUAAUACUUCUUAAUGGUGGUCAAAUAUCAAGAAAAAUAUAGUAACUUAGUAAACUAUAUCUUACAUUUUUUAAAUAAAUAUGAAAUGAGCUACAACAACACUUAUUUUGAAACGGAGGGAGGAUGUAGUAUUUGCCAAUUUUUCAAAAAACUCAUUAAUUGAGACAGUUGAGUGUUGCUGUAUAAACAAAGCUUCAUAAAUUCUUGCCCUGCUUUUUUUUUUUAUUCACAUUCAAGAUUGGAGUCGAAACCAACCCAUUACUGGCUUUUACUACUUAAGUAGUCCAUAUUUCUCUUGCCAUCAGAACUCAAAAGAACAUCAUGGAUUGGUCACAAAAACUUUACUUUACAGCUUUUCUAAUUGUUGCAGCAGCCAUUCGGGGAAUUCAUGGUUAUACUAUGGUCUCUGGAACUGUCUUCUGUGACCAAUGCAAAGAUGGCCAAAUCUCUCUCUUUGAUUAUCCUCUAAAUGGUAACUAAAACUAUUUAAUUACUACUUAAGUUCCCAUAUGACAUUAUAAUCAACUCUGUUUUUGGUACUUCUUAUCCAAUGUUUUGUCCUGCUUCUUGAUUAUAACAGAAAAAUCGAGUCUUGAAAAUCUUGAUUAAAAGGCAGGACUGUGCAGAAAGCUCCCGUUAUGGACAGGGUUUUUUGAUAUUUCUUAUCCAAUGUUUUGUCCUACUUCUUGAUAUUCUUGGAUUAUAACAGAAAAAUUGAAUCUUGAAAAUCUUGGUUAUAAGGGCAACAUAGUGCAUAAAGCUCCUGCUGUGCGUAGGAUCGGGAAAGGGUUGGAUCGCAAUGGGUUUAUUGUACGUAGUUUUACCUUACAUUUCUGGUAGAGUUACUUUCCACUGUUUGAAUCUAUGACAAAGACUCUUUACAUUGCAUCAAAGCUCCCUUUUCAGUCUUGAAUCUUGAUUAGACUCGAAAAGAAUCCUCUUCUUACUAGCAUUGUUACUUAAGUUUUUGAGUGCCAAAUUGUGUGCAGGAAUAAAUGUAGCAAUGGCGUGCCCAGACAACAAUGGACAAAUGACAACAUGGGGAGAAGAUACAACAAAUUGGCUAGGAAAUUUUGCCAUGAAGUUUGAUGGAAAUCCAGAUUUGAGUGGCUGUGUUGCACAGGUUUAUCUAAAGUACUUCAUUUUUUUUUCUUUACGGAUGGUUGAUUUCUCAGAAAGUCACUUUUCUUCUUGAUUCCAUUUUACUUCAACACACUGAACAUCUGAGAAAUCAACUCGUCAUGACAUUAGCAUGAGACUGAUGAGCUUAAAUGAAGUGACACUAUGAAUGUAGAUUCAUAUGAUCCACCUCAGAUUGUUUGAGAUUGAGACGUAAUUGUUAUUAUUGUUUCACAGGUUACAAGCAGUAAUGAGCAAGGGAAAAGAGGAUGUGGGACAGGAGGAGGACCAGGAAAGUCACCAAGAUUAAUAUUUAGGAUGUUUGAUAUGAAUAUGUACACAAUUGAUCCUUUGAUUUCUCAGCCUUCAGAUCCAAUGUCUUUCUGUCCAAAAUUUUCAUACCCACAGCCACACCCCAAUCCUGUUUCCCCUGCUACACCACCAUCAACACUUCCAUAUCCACCUACUCCCUCAUUGCCUCAUUUACCCUCAUGGCCUCCUUUACCCCCAAUGCCUCAUUUCCCCUAUUUGGAUGCUUCAGCUUGCUCACAUCAGUAAGUCUAACAUUUUCUUGAUAACGUCACCUAGAAGAUAUAUUCAUAUGUUAAAAAGUGAGAUUAGUAACAUGAAAUAUAAAACACUUUUAGGGGUCGUUUGGUAGCUGGUUAAAGUUAUGCAGGUAUAAGUAAUAUAUUGAUUAGUUAUAAGGGAAUUUAUGUAUUAUUUUAUGUAGUGAUUAGUUAUGAAGGGUUUAGUUAUUCAUGUAUUACUAAUUUCACCUUCUAUCUGGCAUAAAAUUAUACGUAAAUUCCCUCGUAACUUAUAUAUAUAUUAUGUGGGUUUUAGAUUGCAAACCAAACACCAUAUUAAUUUUAUACAUGAAUAAUUUACCUCAUAACUAGCUGCUAAAUGUGGUAUCACUUAUGCAGAAUUUAAUACAUGCAUGAUUGAUCUCCAAACCAGCUACCAAACGACACCUUACUACAACCAUUUAAAUGCACAGUUAUGCAAAAUCUUUUACACUGUAGCAGUAAAUGCAUAGCUAAACUACUCUCUUUAAAAAGGAAUUGUCUUUAUGGGGUCUGUACAUCUGGACCAUUAUUUGUGUUCACAUCUUUAACUACUUUUGUUGCUAUAAAUUUUUUCCCAGCGUCGGUGGAGCAUAGUCAAACAGGGCUAAAAACAUUGUUUAAAUAUUGACAUCAGAUAAAGAAAUUAGUACAAUUUUGUUACACAAUGAAAACAUUUGUACAACAAGAACCUUGACUAGGCUCAAAGUUAAAAUUACAUUAUUUUAAAUAUAGAAAUGUGACGUUCUUUUUACCUGUAGGAGCUGGAUGAUGCCAGAAUACCGCUGCUACUGGAAAGUAAUAAAUCCAGAUUUGAAAGUAGGUGUUGUAUUUGGGCUGAUUGCUGCUAGAAAAUAUGGGAGUGAUAUAACAUUAUGGGAAGGAAUGCAAGGCAGAGGAGAACCUUAUAAAACUUUGUUAAGAGAAGGGACAACUGCACUUUUGAAUUCUUAUAACAGUGUACAAUUUCCAUAUCAUCCAUUGAGUGUUAUUCAACAUAUGAAUUGGGCAUUAAUGGGAUCAACUCAACAAGUUAUGCAUACAGCUUUGAAUUUCUUGAGGGCUAAUUCUGGAAAUGGAAGAACUACUUGCAAGUUCAAUCCUUGCAAGUGAUUAUUAGUAUUAAUUUCACUUCUUAGUGUACUUUUAAUUGAUUUGUAGUUGAGUUAAUCACGUUUAUAUUACUCUCUAUUUAGUAAUAUGUUGUUGGCGUAUACUUGUGUCUACAUUUGCUCUGUACGUCAUAGUAUUUUGGAAUCGUAUGUUAUUGAUUCCCAAAAUCAUUGUUGAUUGCUACAGUAUGAAAAUAAAGAACUACUUUGAAAUUUUCCGUACGGUGGAACUUCAUUUGAUACCUCUUAUUUUCCCACAAUAAGCUUGUCAACAUUACACUUUGGUCAUCUCAAAAUGUCAAUAUUACAAUUUUAUUUUCUGUUUGCAAGCAGGUAUAGUAAAGAUGAAAUUGAAUGAACAGCUAACUAUAGUUUUUUUUUAUUUCCUAUCCGUCAACAUUACACUUUAAACAUUUUCUUGGGGCACCAAAUACAGGUGGCUUAAAGCUUAAAAUAAUAAGUAAUCCCCAAGACUAUCGGCUCUAUGUUUGAGACUUCAAGCAAAGGUAGCUUCAUACAUGCACAUGGCAAGGGAGUAGAGGUUGAUGAUAAAUCUCCACUAAUUAUCUUGAAUCAGAAAAACAAAGAUGGAAGACUGCUCGGUUUUCAAGAUUGAAGAAACCAGCAUUAAAGAAAUCCACCACGCAUUUGCUCCGCAAGAAAACUAGUCGACUUUUACCUUCACCAAAUCGAAACCCUAAAUCCGCUGCUUCGCGGGAUUAUCGAGGUAAACCCGGAGGCAGCUGAUGAGGCUGACCGAAACAGAGUUGACAGUAGUGAAACUGGAAGCUUUUUAGGGGAGUUACAUGGAAUCCCAGUGCUUCUUAAGGAUACAUUUGGGACAAAGGAUAAGUUGAAUACUACUGCGGGUUCAUAUGCUCUGCUGGGAUCUGAUUCUGAAGUGAGGCGAGAUGCUGGAGUGGUGGAGAAAUUGAGAAAUGCAGGUGCUAUUAUUUUGGGAAAAGCUAGUAUGAUUGAAUGGUACGAGUUUCGUUCUCUCAGUGGAGUUCCUAAUGGCUGGUGUGCUCGAUCUGGACAAGGAGUGGUUCGUUACUCUUUUUCUCCAUUUCUUUAUUAGAGAAACAUCUUUGAUCAAUUGAUAUAUAUGAUGAUACUCUCUUCCCAUAGAUUUUGAAGGUGGAACUUGAAAUUUUGAGGUUUUGAACUUGUGUUUUGACAUGCAUUUUACACCUAAAAACUUUGACCCCAAAACUGGAUAAAUAUUGGUCUUAACCAGAUAUUCGUAACUUGAAAAUAUUUAAAGAUAAUUUUUCAAAAUCUAUGGUCUAUCGCUAGCUGCAUGCGACAUGAGAAAGAUAUUCCAGCCUAGUUCUAGUUUCAUCACUUAAUCUUUGUUUCCGGAUUGAAACCCCUUGGUCGUAUGUGUCACAUAGUCCUUACAGCUAACAAGAAAGCAAAACGUGAAAAAUAAUUUGAGGAAUGUAGACAGAGUAAGAAGCUAUAGUUCUGAAAGGAGAUGACUAUAUUUUGUCGAUAGAUUGUGCAGAUUACCAGCCUAAAGCUCCUUGUCUGGAUAAUCUUUCAUGCUUCAGAACUAUUAGUAUAGAAUUGAAUACAUCUUCUUAUUGGUAAAGCUAGGAAGAGUAUUAUAUAUCAUCUUCGAGCUUCCUAAGACUAACUAUCCAAUUUUUAACAUAACAAGCAUCUAAUAGCUCCUCCAAAGAAUGUAUUACAUUUACCUUUUCAAAAUAUGUAGAAUCCAUAUUGCCCGUCUGGAUCACCAUGUGGAUCAAGUAGUGGCUGUGCAAUAUCUGUUGCUGCAAAUAUGGCAGCAGUCUCUCUUGGGACUGAAACUCACUGCUCCAUCAUCUGUCCAGCGGAUCAUAACUCAGUUGUACGGCUGAAACCUACUGUUGGGCUCACAAGUUGGGCAGGGAUCAUACCAAUGACGCCCCACUGGGACACUGUUGGGUGAGCGUAUUUUCUUUACUUGCUUUCUUUAAAUUUAUUACUACUGAUUAACACAAGAAGUAGAAGAGUAAUUAUCCGAAAUCUGACCAGUGUUCUGUUAUCAUAUCAUUGCACAAGUUAAGGUGUGUUCAGGAAAUUGAUGUUAAUUUUUAAGGAAGCUGUGUUAAACAGAACAUUUCCUUGUUAUUCAGGCCUAUAUGCAGGAAUGUUACAGAUGCAGUUUACAUGCUUGAUGUAAUUGUUGGAUCAGAUCCAAGAGAUGAAGUCACCACGGAAGCAGCUAAAUAUAUUCCUGAGGGUGGCUACAAACAGUUUCUCGUGGAAGACGGUCUAAAAGGGAAGUGAAUAGGCAUUGUCAGACACCCAUUUGUGUAAAUGAUACAUGGAGCAAUCGAAAAAUCAGCUUUUGAGCAUCACCUAGAUUUGUUAAGGUAUGAAGCUUUGUUACCUCAAAGUCACCUUUUAUCUGCAAAAUCACAAAUAAAAAUAACAAGUCCUAUUUAGUUCGUUUUAUUUGUAAUUAUUUGGUGGACUUGAUGUUGGAAUUUAAGACAAGAAGGAGCAGUUCUGGUAGACAACCUGAGCAUACCACAUAUUGAAGAGAUUAUGGAUUCAAAUCACAGCGGUGAAGCGUUGGUGAUGAUGGUUGAAUUCAAGAGCUCAAUCAAUGCUUACCUGAAAGAGUUGAUUACUUCUCCUGUCAGGUCAUUGGCCGACAUUAUCGCUUUUAAUGAACACAACUCUGAGUUGGUACGCACUUUACUUUGCAACAAAGGUCUUUAGGCAUUAAGUAAAACUAAUAACAAGAAACAGGAACAGUUGGAUGGAAGUGGAAUAAAAAUUGUCAUUUGUUUUUUGUGGUUUACAUACUUUGAAGUAACAUGAAAAUGUCCAAUGAACCUUUUGAUUACAGGAACAACUUGCUGAGUUUGACCAACAUACUUUUGUAGAAGCCGAGAAGACAGACGGAUAUGGAGAAGAAGAGAAGAAAGUUGUGGAGAAGUUGAAAAACUUUUCACAAAAUGGAUUUGAGAAAAUGAUGAACCACCAUGAGCUUGAUGCAAUGGUCGUGCCUCUCCCGUUUUUGCAAUAGGUGGCCCCAGCAAUAACCAUUCCAGCAGGGUAUGAAAGUGAUGGCAUGCCAUUUGGCAUCUGUUUUGGAGGUUUGAAGGGUACUGAACCAAAGCUGAUUGAAAUUGCCUAUGCCUUUGAGCAAUCUAGCAAAGUUCGACGACCUCCUUCUGUAAUUUAAUAUUGCUUUACCCUGAAGAUCGAGUAUAUUUGGAAUGAAGAAAGCAAAGAACGUUGCUUGCUGCUGAAUGUGGAGCUAAUGGUGCAAUGUUGAACUAAUAGAAUAGAAUGCUUUUAUUUACUGCACAAUGCUAAAUCUCUUAGUCGUAGUCAAAACAGUUUCUUCAAGUUUGACUAGCUGAGCUAAAUAGUUUCCUUCUUUUUUCCCCCCAAUUUCAGAGACAUUGUUUCUCACUUAAUUGUUCUCUUCUGAUCCCCUGUUGAGGAUUUUUUUUUUUUAUUAUUUUUAUUCUUCUAUACCCAUUCUUUAUUAUGACUAGAUUUCAUUCUCUGUUUCAGAAUAAUAGCACCCAGCUGAAUUAUUCCUUUUGUUGAUUAAUUCAAGAAAGAAUAAGGCACAGGAUCUAAUUAGUCGAUCUAAAAUAUACCUCCAUAUAAGGAGACAGUUGCCGGAUACUGCCGGCAUAAAUUACUCAAUAGAGAUUUUAAAGAGCCUGUGGACUCAAAUAUCAUAAAUAAUUUGGAGAGUGAAGUGCAAUUAGAUCCACUUUUUAGGUGGUCUGCUUGCCAUGAAUGUUUAUUCUUUGUCCGCAUUACUUACUCUUACGGCCAUAUCACUUUUUGGAUGGUCGUAUAUUGAUAUUUGCCAUGCAUUCUCGAUUAAAGAAGCUAGCAUUACCGAUCUGCACCUUGCUUUUAGCCAAAACCAGCUUACAUCGAGGCAGCUCGUGGAGUUCUACCUCGGAGAAAUUUCACGGCUUAAUCCCGUUCUCAAAAGUGUCAUUGAGGUAAUUAUGUUGAAAUGUGUAAUUAUCUCAUAUAAAAAUAUAUUCUUAUUUACUUAAUUAUGUCUUUAACAGAUAAAUCCCGAUGCACUCUUGGAAGCUGACAGGGCUGACAAAGAGAGGAACGAGUCAGCAAGCUCUUUGUCAAUGUUGCGUGGUGUUCCAAUCCUUCUUAAGGAUAACAUUGCAACAAAAGAUAAGCUUAACACUACAGCUGGAUCAUUUUCAUUACUGGGAUCAGUGAUACCCCGUGACGCGGGUGUAGUGACAAAGCUGAGAAGAGCUGGUGCGAUUGUACUAGGGAAAGCUAGCCUCAGUGAGUGGGCUCACUCUCGAACGCUAAAGGCGCCCAAUGGCUGGAGCCCUAGAGGUGGACAAGGAAAGGUAAGUUAUAUAUGUCAACUACAGCUAUAAAAGAAUACUUCCGAUAGUAAGACCACCAAAAAGCAGUCUAUGAUGGGAAAGUUAUGCAAUGAACUAAUGAGCGGUACACACUUUUUCUAUGCAGAAUCCUUACGUUCUCUCCACGGACCCUUGUGGCUCGAGUAGUGGAUCAGCAAUAUCAGUGGCAGCAAACAUGGUAUCUGUGUCAAUAGGGACAGAGACCCGUGGUUCAAUCUUAUGCCCGGCCAGUUCCAAUGCAGUUGUAGGCAUCAAACCAACCGUUGGACUCACUAGUCGAGCAGGGGUCAUCCCAGUUACACCUAGACAAGACACUGUUGGGUACACACAUUCUAAAUCCACAUCCGUUAAUUUGAUACUUCUUCUGAAUGAUACCAAUACAACAAUACUAACUUGUCAUAUGCGUUGGUUGAACAGGCCAAUUGGCAGAACAGUAGCAGAUGCUGUUCAUGUUCUUGAUGCCAUCGUAGGCUUUGACCACAAUGACGCAGCUGCAACUGCUGCAGCAGCUAAAUUCAUUCCUCGUGGUGGUUAUACUCAAUUUCUGAAAGUAGAUGGCCUUAACAGCAAGCGAAUUGGAAUAGUGAGAGACCCCUUCUUCAAUUUCACUAAUAAUCCUGCCCUCGCUCAAGCUUUUGAGAAACAUCUCCAAACACUAAGGUAACUUAGCUAGUUGUUUCUGAAGAUAUCAUUAUUUGUUAAAAAGGUACGUCAUCUGUGAAGAAUGAAGAUAUAACGGAUGGCAGUGAGAGUCUCUGCCUAUUUUAAUAUCAUGUUGGAGUGUAAAGACCAUUUUACUUAACAGAUCGUUAUACAUUCAGACAAUUUCCUGUUUUCCUCAAAUGCAGGCUACAAGGUGCAGUCUUGGUAGACAAUGUGAUGAUAGCCAACCUUGAGACAAUUUUAGACUUUAAUCUGAGUGGUGAAGCAUCAGCAGUAUUGGCUGAAUUCAAGAUAGCCUUAAAUGUUUAUCUAAAAGAGCUAAUCGAUUCCCCUGUUCGAUCCUUAUCAGAUAUAAUAAUCUUCAAUCAAAAAAAUCCCGAACUGGUACGUUAUUCAUGAUCAAAUAAUCUACAAGAUUGACCGAAUUAACUUCACUAGUUGUCAUCCAACUAAGUUUCAGUUUCACAGAAAGUCACUCAACUUUGAUUUCUCAUUUCAGGAGAUGCUAAAGGAAUUUGGUCAAGAUAUAUUUUUGGCAGCUGAAUCUACAAAUGGAAUUGGGGAAACAGAAUUGAAAGCUUUGAAGAAUUUGUCAAGAUUAACAAGAAAUGGAUUCCAAAAGUUGAUGAAAAAGUAUAAGUUGGAUGCAUUGGUUACUGCUGGCUCUAGUGUUGCUGCAGUUCUUGCAAUUGGUGGAUUUCCAGCAAUUAGUGUGCCAGCUGCUUAUGACAAAGGGGUGCCUAUUGGCACUUGUUUUAGUGGGUUGAAAGGCUCAGAGCCUAAAUUAAUUGAAAUUGCCUAUGGCUUUGAGCAAGCAACUCUAAUUAGAAAGCCUCCUACAUUUUUGCCCUAAAAAUGUACUACUAUUAGAAAAAUAUGUACUAUGUUCCUUUUGUUUGCUGUGUGCAUUUCUUAUUUGAAAUAUAGAGAGGCAUGUAACUCAAUCUUAAAGAGCGAAAAGAAAUCGAAUUUGAAAAAUCAAACACUCUCUUCCGAACAAAAUAAUUGAUGUUUGACAAAAUCAAAAAGGUAUUUAAUUUCUUUCCUAAAUUUGCCCUUAACAUAUUCAUAAUUCGAUAAAUAUACAAUUUAAUAGUAAUAAUUAUGUCAAUCUAAAAAGAAAAAAAAGAGAUCAUAAUUAAAGAGUAUUUUUGUCGAGUUUGAACCAUGACAGCUUUCCCGUGGUCUAUUGUUUGGGAAGUCUUCAAUCCAGCAACAAAGGAAGUUUUCCUUUGCUUUAUUACCUUUAGGACCCGUUUGGUAGGAGGUAUUAAUCAAAAUAGUCAAUGGAUUAAAAUUUAGUCCAACAAAAGCAUUGUUUGGUUACUUUAUUUAAUCCAGUCCAUGGAUUAGUUAUACCUCAAUCAAGGUCUUAUUUUAUCACUAGAAAAGGGAGGGAUAACUAAUCCAAGGUUUAACAAUCCUUGGAUAAGACCCCUAAAUUACAAAUCCCCUUUUUCCUUUUUCUUUUUUUUGUAAUUUAAUGUUUUUUUUUAUUUAUAUGAGAAUAUUUAUAAAUAUUCUUUUAAAUUCUCCAAAUUCGUUCCAUGUAAUUUGAUGAUUUCACAAAUUAAUAUUUUUUUCUCCAUGUUUGAUUUGUUAUAUUGAGUUGGUUUUUUCGGGUUUUUUCUUAAAAUGUAGUUCGUCGAUUGACCACUUGAACUAUUUUUUAAAAAAAAUAAGCUUUGUGUAUUUGAACAAUUUAAGUAGCCUUAAAUCUAUGUUAAGUUUAAGGUUAAUAUACCGUAUUAUCAAGGAUCUCUAUGGUGGCAUAUCACACCUCAAAAAAUUUUAAAUAUAUUUUAGUAUUUAAUUUGACAAAUUAAAUGAAAUAUAAAAUCUCAUAGUAACUCAAGGGUAUAAUAGGAAAGAAAUUUUUUCUAGAAUUCUAAACCAAACAUAAGAUUAAAUGGGAAACAUGAACCAAACACUUGAUAAAAACUAAUCCUUGCAUUACUAAUCAUGCAUUAGUAAUCCCUGCAUUAUGCAUCUUUGUACCAAACGAUCCCUUAAUGACGGUUGAUUUUGGAUGCUUUAAUUAAGCAUAGUCAUGGGGUGAGUAAAUAAAUUGAUGAACUAAUAAACAGAGACGUUACGAAAUAUUAUUCGUCAAAUUAUCAAAUCAGACCCCUUAGGACCAACACCUAUCAUGAUUACAAAAUGAAAAAGAACCAAAUCGAAUUGAAAAAAUAAAGUAGGAUUUGAACAAAUACUUACUUUCGUCCAAUUUUUGUGAUGGCAAUUGAUGCCUAAUUAAAUAUUAAACUGUAGUUUUGGAAUGCAAAAUUUUUCUAUAUAAUUUGAACGGGUAAAUUACAUCACAUAAAUUGAGACAGAAAAAAUAAGUUUUAAUUUCUUUGUUUGUUGUUCUAUAAAAAAAUAAUUAAAGUACCAAUUAAAUUCCUCAUAAAUCAAUUUGAAUUAUAUAUUAAUUUAAUUUUUAAAUAAAUUGAACUGGACGAAUCAAAAUUAAUGGAGGCAAAUAAGCAAGUGGAUCAAUAAUUCAUCACAAUCGAAUGAGUUAAAACGAAUCAUGUUUUUAUGCAGUAGUACUAAUUUUGUUAAUUUCUGAGUAGGAGACACUCUCGUGGUUGGUGUGUCAUUUCAAUUGUUGUUGAGUUUGGAUGCUUUUGUUGACGCCCACACUUGGAAUAUAUAGUAGUUAAGGGGUAGGUAAACUUGAUGAACUAAACACACACAAUUACCAACUCUUAUUUGUCUAUUCUUUUUUUAGAAAAAAUUAAUCAUGGUGACUGAAUCAGUUUGUGCGCAUUUUAGCUAAUUUCAUGUGAUAAUGUCACUUCAAGGCUAAAACAAUCGGAAAGAAAUCAUCUAGUGUUUUAUCUAUAUUGGAAUUUGAACUUAAGAGUCAUAAUGCUCAACCUACAUUAUUAACCUUCUGGUCACACCUUAAGUACUCUUCUUCAUUAUAAUUUCGUACAAGACAUCAGGCUUGCACUAUAACAAAUAAAGGAUUUGGUGGCAAUAAUAUAAUUAUCAAUAUAUUAUAUUUUGCGACAUUAAUAAAUAUGAAUAUUUAUAACUAAUCGGAGUACUUUUUUAUAUAAAUGUCAAUAAAGAUUUUAGUUCCUCUAAAUAGAGCAACAUUAAUUCAAUUAGUAUUACAAUUUUUGUAGAAAAAAGGAAAACAAGGAGUAAGAUAAAAUUUGACGCAGCAUAACCAAACAAAUCUUAUUAGAUCCUAAAAGAUUAAUUAUCUCUUGCGUGAGUAUAGAAAUAACCGAUUUCUCCCACCUGCUCCUAUGUUGUUAAUACUCUUUGAAAAUUACACCUAUUUUUGGUUAGGGCAAACAUUGCACGAUUUAAUGUUCUACAACUGCAAAAUCCUUACUUGACUUUAUGCUCAUUACUGAAAACUCUACAUUUUAUUUUAUUUUCUCAAGAAUUCAACAAAAACUGUACCAACUUUUAUGUGGGGCUAGAUUAGUUAGCAAGGCAGUUUGCUUAAUUUGUUUACAUGCCAAUCAGUCAUUUAUAACUAAUCUCCUUAACUCUGCUUAUAAAUAGCACUAUCCCUCAUCAUAUCUUAUUUGAUUAAUUUUGUGUUGCAACAGUCAACAAGUGCUUAGUAACCGGAUAACUUAUAUCUCGUCUUUUUUUCUUUUCUUUUCUCUUUGCAACAUUAGCUACGAGAGGUCAUGGGUAAAGUUGUUCUGCUUGUAAUAUUUGCGAUCAUAUUUACAUGGGUGGCUCAAGCCCAAGACCAAACGUCAUGGGCUAAGAGGGUUGAUACAGGCAAAGAGGUGGUUACAACCCUUCAAUUUUACUUCCAUGACAAACUCAGUGGAUCAAAUCCAAGUGCAGUUCAAAUUGCACAAGCUGCAGGGACUAACAAUUCGAGUACCUUAUUUGGGGCUUUGUUGAUGAUUGAUGAUCCACUUACUAUUGGACCUGAACCAACUUCAAAGCUAGUAGGUCGAGCCCGCGGACUAUAUGGGUCUGCUGGUCAAACUGAUAUGGGCCUUAUCAUGGUGGUUAGUUAUGGGUUCACAGAUGGUAUCUAUCAAGGGAGUUCAUUUAGCCUAUUGAGUUUGAACCCGGCAAUGAACCCGGUUCGUGAGAUGGCUAUCGUUGGUGGGACCGGGCUUUUUCGGUUGGCCCGUGGGUAUGCUCUUGCUCAAACUAAUUCGGCAAAUUCUAAUGGUGAUGCAAUUGUUGGCUACAAUGUUACAAUUGUCACAUAUGUUUGAAUUUUUUCUUAUUUUUUGUAAGCAACUUUUUAGUUCUAUAAUAACCGAUAUUAUUCAGGCAAUUCAAAUAUUUCAUUCUUGGCAUCAUCAUAGAACGGCUCGAGUUUAUAGUAAGGUAACAUGUCGAGAAAGAUGAAACUAGCGUUUGGCCAUAGAUUUUCAAAUAUUAUUUGGGUGAAAUUUCAUCAUGUAUUUGGGAAACAUAUUUCACUUUUAAAAAAAAAUAUGAUUUAUAUCCAUAAAUUUUUAAAAUGGUCAAAACUAACCAUAAGUUUGUAUUACAAGUCAAUUGGAUCUACGUUUCAACAAAUAACAAGUAGUGUCCAUGACACUGGAGCAAUAUGGUAGUUUGGAGUGAGUGCAACAGGCAUCAUUUCAUACAUCGUGAAGUAGACAAAACACAUGACUUUAAUACCUUGAGCCGAUUGUUCAUCAUUUUCAUCAACAAUCAUAUUAUCACUUUCAUAUUCAUUGAAUAUUUCAUCACUACUUUGGUGUUUACGUAAAAAAUUAUGUAAUACAACGCAAACAACUACUAUAGAGGGUGUUUUUGUAAAAGAUAAAAGUUUGGUGUAAAAUUUUAAUUUUUAAAAGAUUCCAAUAAUAAGAUUUGGCCCAAAUAUUAGAAAAAACUAGUAUUUGAAAAUUUGGGAUAUUUGUUAAAUAAUGACAAAUUGUAUGGACAAACCAUGAGUAAGCACUUUUGACAGCAAGAGAAGAGUCCUCCUCCUCACAAGGAUCGACUCCUUAAAGGUGCGAGGUGCAAUCAACCGCGAAAAGUCAGUAAUAAAGAAUCGAAACACUAUUUGCCAAAUUUUUCUCCAAAUAUUACUUGGGAAAUCUAUGGCCCAACGGGUCCGAAAUCGUCGUAUUUCCUUUCCACGUUCGUCUCGCUUGUUGGGGAUGAUCAGCAAUUUGUGUUAAUAGGUGGAAAAGAAGCAAAUGCAUCUAGAAAGAGAAAGAAGAAGAAAAAACAAUUUCUUGUAGAAGAGUAAAUUUAAUUCUGCAAUAGACUGCUUUACCGUUGACAAAAUCAAUUUAAGAGAAUCAUCGAUUUAUUAUUUAUGUAUAGAUUUAAACUUAUUUUAAUAAGAUCAUUCACAGAAAAACACAAGUUGAACAAGACUACUAACAACUACAUUAAAAAGUUUUUUUUUAUAUAUUUUUAAACCCUGUAUUAAAUCAAAGUGGAUCAUUUAAAAAUAAAAAUAAAAACAGAAAGAGUAAUAAAAGUUAACGGCUAUUAGUCGAGAUUUGUAGUUGAAGCCACGAGGCUGACUACUUGCUUAUACAAUAGUACAAAUAAAAUUAAGAUCACAUUCAACUACUCUUUAUAUAUCUUUCUUUCUUCCAAAUUCCAAUCAAUUCCUACCAAUAAGAGAAAAAUGGAGAAGCAAAUAGUCAUUCGAUUAAUAAGCUUAGUAUUAUUAACAAUUGCCACAGCAGCUGCCAUAGAUAAAAGCCCAAAAGCAGUUGAAAAAUGGUUCAAAAAUCUCCCUUAUGCAAACACCAAAACCACCAAAUUUCACUUCUACUUUCAUGAAAUUUUUGGAGGAGAUAACCAAACAGCUCCUAUAAUUGCUCAAGCCAACAUUACAGCUCAAUCACCCACAUUCUUUGGCAUGUUGAGAAUGUUCGACAACCCGUUGACUGUUGGGCCGGAUCCUAAUUCGAAACAAGUGGGCCGAGCUCAGGGAAUCCAUGGAUCGCCAUCAUUGAGUGAGUUGGCCUUAUUUUUCGACUUCAAUUUUGUGUUCACUAAUGGGCCUUAUAAUGGUAGUAGUGUAAGUGUAAUGGGCCGGGUUGCGGAAUCGCAAGAAUACAGAGAAUUGUCGAUUAUUGGUGGAUCCGGUGUUUUCCGGCUUGCUAAAGGUGUCGCUACUGGGAAGACUUAUUUUUCUAAUGAUAAACUUGUUAUUGUUGAGUAUAAUCUUAUAAUAAUUCAUUAUUGAAUUCUUGUUUCGAUGUAAAAGUCGCUACUACUUUAUUGAUAAACUUAUUAAAACAAAGUUUUUAUUGACUUAUGAGAGGGGACGACCUUAGGCGAAGGAUGAUCCCCCGGUUACCCUCUAGAUUCAUCAUAUGCGGUAUUUUACUUCCUCCAUUUCAAUUUACGUAUCUUAAUUUGAUUAAGCACAAAGUUUUGAAAAAGUAGAUACGGAAACAUUUUAAAUGUUGUAUUCUUAAGUUAAAAAUAUGUGUAUAAUAUACCAAAACACUUCCAUGACCGUGCCAACCAAAUGAAGAGAUAUGGUCCAAGAAGUAGUCGACGAAGAGAAACUAGUUGAUAUGGAAGACUCGAUCAGCACAAUGUUUAAUCUCUACACUAAUCGAAAAAAGAUGUCCAUUGAGGAUCACAUGGAUUCGUAGAAAACAAUAGGAAAACGAUAAACAUAUCAAAAUAAUUAUUGAGCAGUACUUCCAAUCAAAGAAAAGAUAAGACCAUUUGAUGGGCAAUGGGGAAAUUGAGGGCCACUAUGUUUGGUAAAGAGACUGCAGAUGAUCAUGAUUCUGCUUUGGCUCUUCCACUUGGCCUUUAUGUUUUGUUAAUAAUAUACAAGAACAAGCAUCCAUCCAACUCGGAAACAAACUCUAGCCAUCAGAAUAUCGUAAAACAAUAUCAAGACUAAGGAAAACAUAAAGAAGAAGAAGAAGACCACAGAACCGCACUUGCAAUAGCCAAUUCUACUUGCUAUAAUGUUAACCCAUUUUUCAUCAUCAACAUUUAAAAACCUAACUAAACAAGACUUGAAGUUUGAGUCUAGGAGGAUUAACCCGAAAGAGUUUACAAGCAAAGCCAAUCUCAGCAUUAUGAUAAUAAACAAAAUUGGAAAUUGAAGACGAGCGUAAGCUAAACUCUUCUUAGGCUACAAUGGCAUGCCUUUGGAUGAUCUGGAAAACCACUUUUCCUAGCGAAGCCAGACAGUGCAAGUCCUUCCUUUCUUCACAAGAAAAUAAAUUGCAUCUGCACAUUGUUAGUUUAUAUCAACAAUGGAAGUUGUCAACAUGGAAACAACAUGCCACCUUGCAAACUACUUGGAAUCAAAUAUACAGCUAAAGCUGAAAUACACAGCAAUUUAAUCUGAACUACUGCUUCCUCCUAUGCUAGAACAGGAAACCUAAUUAAUUGCAUCUUUAAAGAAGAUAUAACUGCAUUAUGGCUGUUAAUUGGGAAGCAUCAUUUAGAUACAAGAUCACUUUUCCUUGAACACAAUGCAAAUAAUGCUUCAAAAGCAUAGGAACAUUUUCCAGUAAAUAGCAAACUUCAUAUAAAUCAAUCCAGCUCUCACUCCAACUAGAUGAACACUCAGUAGUCUAAUUGUUCAGCAUUACUAGAUGCAGACCUGAAUUGGUUGGUGUGAAGAGGAACAAAAUGGUAGUACAACCCUGCAGCAUUACUAAACGGAAUUGGGCUUGAUCAAUUUAAAGCAAAUUAUUUGCAUACUUUGUAUGCCCACAAAGAACUUCUGCCCAUUGCACAGUCAUUUGAUACGGGUAUAUCUAAAGCAAAAUGAGAAGUCUACAUUACAAGGUAUAAGACAAGUUGUUUUACAAUCAACUCUACCUAGUCUUAACCACAGUAGGACAAAUUUUUAGGUCACUGAUGGAAUUCUGAUUAUCAACUUCACCAUUCUCCAACAUAGAGUAAGACAUUGAGUAAAUAUUUGAACAGUAGAAUUUAUCCAACAUCAAAACAGAGGUUCUUUUUUUUGAAAUAGAACAUCAAAACAGAGGUUCUUCAUCAGAUUGGAAAAGGAUGUAUUUAGACAGAAACAUAAAAAAUGCUUUUAACUUUUGGCAUGCAUUCUUUCUAUAUAUCAUUGCACCAGAGGUUAUGGACAUGAGAGUAGAAAUUUUGAAGCGGCAAACAGAUCACGUCAUCCACUCUUAUGGGAACAGAAACAGGUAAAAGGGUUUUUCCAUUUUCUCCCCCUUCUAGUUUUCUUUAUUGCAUAAAAAAUUUUCCAGCAUCAUUAUCUUGAUGCACCCUAAGGUUUUUUACCAAAGAUUAUAACCAAACAGUGUGCGAUAACAGUGAAGGCCAAGUAUAAAGUCAAAAUACAUAUACAAUGCAAGUACAAGGACUACAAAUGCAAUUCAUUAGUGGUCAAACACGAAAAACAAGAACCACAGCAGAUCCCAGUUGAGAAACUAUGCAAACAGAUGGAGAUAACCCAAAAGCUAUUGAAACUAGAAAGCAGUACCACUGUCAUGGAAGAAAAUAACUGUAAUACCAACAAAAUAACGUAUUUUACCCAUAAAAAAAGUUACAAAAACCACUUCAUAAAAUGCUCACGAGAAAUAACAGCAUGCAUUUUAAGGCUAAGAAAGAAACUAGGUAAAAAAAAAAUGAGUACUCACGUUCAGUGAUGCCGAUCAGCUAAUGGCCACUAUAGAAGUGAUUUGUAAGUCACCAAAUGGUUGUAUGGUGCGCUGUCUGGCCUUAGUUUCAUCAUCAUCCAUAUUGUGCUGGUUGAGAGUAGCUAAUCAGCUUUCUGACAAGUGGAAUUAAGCUUAUCAAAGCAAUCUGAAGCUGUUCUGAGCUGUUCAAACGGAUACUGACUUGUCCAGACCCUUUAUUGUUAAUGUUGACACGGCCAAUCAAGUUUGUGUAUCGUCCAAUAGGUAUCUGCGUUUGUGAAUUGCAUCCGAUAGCAAGAUCUCCAUGCCAGUCCAUAACCGAGAGCCCCAAGGUUGAGAGGAAACGACCAAGAGGAUAAUCUUUGUCUCGCAACGUCGCUUCCAAACUACCACCAUAAGCAGCAUCACCACGGCCAAACAUGGCUCCCCCAGACACAACCAACGAUCCCCGUCUAUUAAAAGUCAACCUGUCCUCAAUUUUCACACCACCUGUCAUGACGUCACCUAAGAGAGUCACUGAAAGACCAGCUGUCGCCUUAUUCUUCCUAUAAUUGCAGAAUCUGGUCUCACUGCGAAGAGUAUAAGCUAGGUCUUUACCAACUGACUGCAUAUCAAAACCUAAAGAAGUUGCUUUUCCAUGCCCAUGCUUUACUGAACUUGCAAUUUCCAUUUGAAGAUUGGUGUCCUUUUUGUCCUUUGAAACCUGACUGGACAAAGAUAUAGGGAUCUUGUCUUUGACAACAAACAAUCUUUCUACAUUGAUGCCCUCAUAACCAACAUCAUGGUCCCAACCGUUGGGUUCUAGGACAGGCCUCACAAGCCACUGAUUUGAAGAAUCCAGAUAUCGAUAUCUAUGAGUUGGAUUAUCAGAAUCAAAUGAAGCAGGUAACGCCAAGUCUGGCAUGGGUACUGGCACUGAUGAUGCACCACCAGUUUCUUCAUCUACAUUUUCGCUGGGAUCAGUUGGUGGUAAACUUUCAGCCGCAGCUUGCAUUUUCUUCAUCAUCUUCCGCCUCUUCCUCUCUUCCUUCAACUGCUUUUUCAUAAAGAGCUUUUCCCUGUAUUCUAACUCAUCAUUGUAGGCCUUCUUCUGCUCUUUGGACAACUUUGCCAGCUGUGCUUUGGUCAAGCGCUUGAAAGGUGGCAGUUGAUCAUAUUCUGAUUCAUCUUCCGACUCUGAAGACUCAUCCAGAUCAUCAUCUAAAGCCUCGUCAUCAUCAUCAAAUUGCUCUGCUGGUAGUUUAACCUGUGGCCUUGACUGUAGAAGGGAUGACAAUAGGAAAGGUAAAGGAGGGGAUCUUGUUCUAGUGGCAUAAGGCUGUCCUGGUGCGCUACUAUCUUGUAAUUUAAGCAAUGUAUUUGCUUCAGCCAAAAUUUUUGAUGCAAAUGACAGAAGUAACAAGUGAGGCCUCCAAACCUGUCCAUUAGGCAGCACCCUCUGUCCAGCCCUGUUAGUCCUGCAUGCUGAGUGAUUCUCAACUAGCGAAACAGGAUUCAUAAGGCGCAUAUCUCCAGCAGCCUGACGUAUUGCUUGCUGGACAACAUGAGAGCGCUGAGUUACAAACAUGUCAUAGCUUGUUACAGUACCAUUGGGGCCUUCAGGUGGAGCAGACGCAGCAUGUGUCAGAACAACUAUGGCAUUAAACCAUAUUGAUGGUCCAAAAAUUUCAGUAAUUGUCCUCAACAAUGGCAUAUCACCAUUAUCUCUGCUCUGCAUAUCCAACCUGUCAAGAUACAGAACAAUAUCUGGGGGUGUCUUCUUAAUAAACCUUUUGACAGAAUGAAGGAUCUUCUCAUUCUGGCGCUGGUCUGACCAGGAAGGAAGAAGCCCAGGAGUGUCAAUCACCCGAACCUUGAUUCCCUGCACAGUGCCAACAACAUCCUGAACCUUUUUUGUCCCUAUCUGGAAAGCAUCAGUGUCAAACUUAACUUCAUCAAAUAUCGAAUUUAUGGUUGCACUUUUACCAACACCAGUUUUUCCAAGAACCAUUAUUGUACAAGAGAAGUCCAGGGGUUCUUGUCCAGCUGCCUCAAGUUGCUCAGCCAUAGCACUUGCACGAUCAAAACUAAAAGCACCAACACGACCUCCACUUCUCCCCCGCAGCUGUUCAGCCAAUCCCAAUCUAUACAAGACUUGGGCAACAACCACAUUAUGUGGAGUCUGUCCAUUCCUAUGAGCUAGACGCAAAAACUUGACUCUUAUCAUCUGGAGCUUCUCACGUGUCUCAUCAUAUUCAUCAGCCUCUCCAUUUGUAGAUUCUUCAACAAGCUGGUUUUGUGCAGGAGAUGCUGUUCCAUUUACACGAGGCUGCUGAACCACUCGGGGAGCCGGUUCCAAUAGUGGGGCAGCACGACCAAGGCCGGCAGGUGCCGGUAUCCGAGUUGCAGAUGCAUUGGAAGAUGAUGGGUGCUCCGUUGCAGAUCUGGCUUCAGGUUCCCUAACCCUAGGAACACUUUGUUUCAGGCCCUUUACAACAACUGACACUGAUUCCUUCUCUGCAACUUUCUCAACUCCAACCCCUGCAUCUUGAGAAACCUUCGAGACCUUCUCAUGAUUGUCAGACGGCAACGCUUCUGAUGAUUUAGACAUUUCAUCAUCUGCAGUCACUCUACCCCUUACUGAAAUUCCGGUAUGGUUCACAGAAGCUGAAGAGUCAGAAACGGAAACAUCUUUCUGCUCAUUGGUCCUGUCAUUCAAAUUUCCUGGUUCCAUAGUAGGGGACUCAUUUAAUUUCAGUCCUUGAUCAUCAGUAGCAUCACCCAUUAGUUCUGGACCAGUUGAUUCUUUUUCUGUCACUUCUGCCUUUACGGGGAAGUGUCCUCCUUGUAGAAUAGAAACAGAGUCGUUGUCUGAACCAUCUAUCUGCUGUUCAUCCUUAUUACUAAUGUUAAUUGGUUCUGGACUACACACGGCCUUUUCUCCAUCUAACUGCUGCCCUUCAUCUUUAUUACUACCGUUAACUGGUUCUGGACUAAUGGCUUUUACUCCAUCUAGCUGCUGCUCCUCAUCCUUAUUACUUCCGUUAACGGGUUCUGGACUAUGCACUGCUUUUACUCCAUCUAUCUGCUGCUCCUCAUCCUUAUUACUACCGUUAACUAGUUCUGGACUAGGCAUUGUUCUUUCUACAUCUAUCUGCUCUUCAUUCAUAUUAUAACCAUUAAUCCGUUCUGGACUAGGCCCUGCUUCUUCUUUGAGUUCAUCACUUGGGUUCAAGCUUUCACUGAGGUGACCAUUUGUGGAAGCAUCAUUAGGGAAAAUAUCUUUCUGCUCUUCAUCCUUAACAUCAGAAUCCAAAGAUUUAAGCACUCCUUCCCAUUCGGUAUCUCCUUCAUCUUUCAGCACAGAGCCAGAACUAACUGAGACAUUGUUGUGGACGUCAGCAGUGUCCUGAUGCCCAGCAGGCUGAACAGCAGAUGUUUCAAACACAUCAACCUUCUUUUCGUCAUGCAGCAAAGCAUCUUUGUAUGAAUGAACCUGGUUCUGCAGAACAUUAUUACCCGCUUCCGCCUCAUUGGCAUCCUGAGCAUCCAAUUUUCCAUGAACCUCUUGAUCCUGUUGAUCAGAAUUUGUUUCCUUUGCAUCAUCAUGACUUUGAGUUCCUCCCAAGUUCACAUGAUCGAAAACUCCAUUGUCAAAUUCAGUUGGUUCACCAGAAUUAUCUUUCCUUUCAUCCCAAUUUACUGAAGUUUCAGUUUCUAUAGCAGCACCCAGAUCUGCAACCUCAGACAUGUCAUCUUUACCCUUCCCCACUAUGAUAUUCUUCUCAACCACUUCUGUUUCAUCCGGUGCAGCGAUUUCAUGAGAACUUUGCUUCUCAACUGAAGGCUCCUCUUUCAAGAUAACAUCCGCCUUCUGAUUAGACUCAUCAUCAGUAUGCUGCAUCUCAUGCAAAACUUCAACCGCUUCCUCAAAGUUCUCAACAUCGUCCCUUGACUCAGAGUUCCUACUGUCCUCAAUAGAACUAUUAAUAUCCCCAGAGUUGCCAUCAUUUCUUCCCUCACUAACAACUCCAUCCUCAACACCAAAACCAGGAGAUUCUGGCUCUAUUGCCUCCUCAAAUACUUCAUCCCCUUCCGAUUCCUUUGAUACAUGUGACACCACAGCUACCUUAUCCUCCUGCCGCACUUCAAUAGUUUCAUCUACUACACCAUUCCACUCGUCCAUUCGGGCCUUGCCAAAUAUUUCCUCCCCAUUUUCCAUCAUAAAUAAACUUCAACAAAACCUAGAUCCACAGAACAAAAUCAACAUCAAACAGAAUUAUAAUCACAAAAAAAUAACAGUAAAAGAAAACCAAAUCACAAAACUAUCAGCAGUAAACAAAAAUCAAGAAAAGAAAAAAAACUAGCACCCAAAAGACCAAAUUAGCUAUUCCGACCCAUAAAGCAAUACAAACUGAUAAAACUCCAUCAACUACUGUAAAAUUUUAAAAUAGAGCUCAGAAUACCCAAUAGAACUUUUUUUUUCAAGAAUUACAAAUCAGCAGCAAACAACAAUCAAGGCGAAAAACCCAAACAUCCAAAGGACAACAUUAUCUAUUAGUACCCAUGAACCAACCAGACGAAUUAAAACCCAAUUAACCAUAUCAAAUGAGAUCUUACAAUAGCUUAGACUACAAAUCAGUAUUCUCUUCAAUUCUAAUCAAACGAACUAAAACCCAGAAAUCCAAUUAACCAUAGUAAAAAGAGAUCUCACAAUAACUUAAACUAUACGUCUAGAAUUAAAUAUCAGCACCAUGAGUCAAGCCAAAAAUAAACCCUAGCACCCAAAAAAUCACAUUAUCUCGUCGGACCCAUAUAGCAAAUCCAAAAAGACUAAAAACCCAGAAAUUGAAUCAACCACAGUUAAACAGCUCAGAUAACCCAUUUCUAUGAAUUAAAACCCCCAGUAUAAAGGAUACUAACAAAAACAGUAGAAAUGACCAAAAGAAAAGCGAAAAGUACCUGUCUAUGUCGAUUCUGAUCCGUCUACGUAGAUUACGAUGAUGAUGAUGAUGAUGAUGAAGAUGGUGAAAGAAAAAAGGUGUUGGUUAAGAUUGGUGAAAAGAGAGAAAAGAGAGGAUCUUCCUUGUGGUUACCUCAAUUUCUGAAGAGGCGAAAAAAGGAAAAAGAAGAGCAGUAGGUGAAGUUUUGAGAGGAUAAGGGGUUUAUCGACGGAUUCAGAGGGUUAAGGGAUUUCAGAUCCAACGGUCCUAAAAAUCACACUCUAUUUCUUUAUUUAUCACGUGUUCUCUAUCACUAUUUCAUUUGUUUGUUCCCUUUUCAUUUAAUAUAAAAUUUAAAUUAAUUAAAAAAAAACUGUAUUGAAAAAAAAAUAUUAAUUAGAUUUUUCUUUGUGUGUGUUUAUAUUUUAUGAUUAAUGAGUUUUAUAUAUUCUGACUACAUUUAGAGGUGUGGGUGGGGACUCUUAAUGACAAACAUUGAGACGGAAAAUAAAUAGUAGUAGUUCUUUAUCUUAUAAUAUUUUAAUUAAGAUUGAGUUGGGUCGAAUAUCUAAUAAUUUGAUUGGAUUCAAAUCUUCGAAUUUAAACUGUAGUUAAGAUUUUUAAAUUUUUAAAUUUUAUUUUGAGCUAGUUUAAUUUGUAGUUAUGGUCAUUAACCAUUUCAUCAAUUAGAUUAGCCUAAGAUAUAGAAUAAUAAUCUAUGAUAGUUAACUUUAAAUGAUGGUACAACUUUUAUACUAUAUUAGUAAUUUAAUGCAUGUAACCUACAUCUUUUAUAUGUGGAGGCUUCAUAUAAACGAGAUUAAGCAACAGUUUAAAAUUAAAUUGUGGUAUAAUGAUCUUUUGCUAAUUUACUGAUGAAGCAACCGAUGGUGAUGAAUCGUUAGAUUAUAAGAAAAUACUCUAAUUUUUAAAAAAAAAUUAUUUACAUGCCACUUAAUUCAGUUUAACUCCUUUUUUCUAUUUUAAGUUUUUAACACACUUAUAAAAGUAACCUAAUUUUAAAAAGCGACUUUCACAUAUAGCAAAUAGAGUUGUCAAUAUGGGUUGGUCCACCUCAUCCGAGUUAAACUAUACAUGCUUUGAAAUUUGAUGGGUCAGGUCGGGCUAGCCCAUUUUUUGUGUGGGCCAGAAAAUGGUUGGCCCAGCCCACAAGUACGUGGUGGCUUUGUUGGGCCAACCCUCUUUUCUUAAAAGUAUAUUUUUUUAUAAUUUUCUAAAUUAAAUUAUAAUUUAAAAAUAUUAUCAUAAAAUAUCAACUAGACAAUAUUACAUGGUGUUAGUGUUACUAGUUGUUAAUCAAAUACACAAAUAAAAUUAUAUUUAUAAUAUUUAUUGAGUUUGAUUUCAAGUAAAAGCAUAAAUAACUAAAUAGAAAUAUUAACCUAAUUAUUUUCCAAUAAUCAUAAUAAAACACAAAAACUAUGACAAUAUUCCAUAGGCUAUGGCAUAUGUAGUAAUUCCCUAGAAAUUUUAAGGAAUUUUUAUUUUAUGUAAUACAUAUUUUAUAAACAUAAUUUGUAUUUAAAUUGUAAUAUUUCGAACUUUAAACAGAUUUUGAGUUUAGACUCUUAUUAUUUUUAAUAAUCUAUUUUAUUUUUAUUUGGCCCACGGGUCGGCCCUAUCCAUAUUUCUGAAGUCCUACAAAUUGGCAGGCUUAUUCAGGUCGAGCUAAAAAGUCAUUUUCUUAAAUGGGCUCAAAAAAUCGUAGUCCAGCUCUAUCAAAUCACGGAUUAGGUCAGGCCGGCCCAACGGGCCUAACCCAUAUUGACGGCUCUAAUAGCAAACAUAAAAAUCAUAUUUGUAUGUUAUAGUUAUGGUUUGCAUAAUUGCACUCCAUAACAAUUUUUAUGUUUGCUAUGGAGCUUUUGAUUUGUAUAAUUCGCUAGAUACAUCCUAUUUAAUAUAAAUUGUUCAGUUUUAUAUAUAUUCAUUUAUACAUUGUAAUUUGUAUAAUUAUAAGUGUAUAGGACGAAAAUAUAUGUAUUUGUAUUUGUAUAUACACUUUUCUCUCGCGUUAUACAAAUACAAACACAAAUACAUUUAUACCGAAAUGUAUAAAAUGGCUAAUUGUAUAUCAAAAAUGGCUAAUUGUAUACCGAAUCAGAUGGCAAAAAAAUGGGAUAUUUACUGCGAAUUACAAAUAAAACAAACUAUGGCUAUAACAUUUAAUUUGAAUCAAGAGUUUGUUAUUUCAUACAAUUUUCUCAACUUUAAAUAUAGUUUAAGCAUCAUCCGUUCUUGAUGAACUUGACAUACUUACAUAGGUAAGUGGUAACCAAUAAUUUUACGAGAUAAAGGAAGAUUGCAUUUUAAGCCUUUAUCUUAAAGCCCGUUUUUAAAAAGAGAAAUGUUACCAAUCCAUAAAAAUGGGCUGGGAAGCCCAAAUGGAAAUUGUUCAUUGGUUUACUUGUAUGUAUACAUUAUUAGUCAUAUAUAUAAAAAAACUGCAUCCAUUUGUAAGUUAUUAAUUUUAAAUUUCGAAUCCGUCUCUAAACUGAAGUACAUGUUUGUCCCAUGAUUAAGUUAUUAGCCAUAUCUUAUAACUUCAUGAAUCUUGUUGAUAUGAUAGAUCUCAACUAGGAGUGUUCGUGGUUCGGUUUAGAUCGGUUAUCGGUAAAAACAUAAAUCAAAUCAGUCUAGUCGGUUUUUUUAAUUUCUAAAACCAAACCAAAUGAAAAAAAUAAUUGUCGGUUUGGUUUAGUUUUCUAGUUUUUUCGAUUUGAAAAGUAAUAAAUUUUUAGAGGACAUACGUAUCUCGAUAGACAAACACCUAGUACAUGAACAAUCCACGGGAAAACUAUUGUCGAUUCAGUUAAUCAAUUAAGCGAAACUAUAAUUAUUAUUACACGAACAAAGUGAUUCAAUUAAUGUGUGACUAUCUUAUGUGAGAUAGGGUAGGUAAAGACCAAGGUAUUAGAUUUUGUUGGACUUGGACUUGGACUGAGGAUUGUAAUAGUUGGGCUAAAAUUUAAGUGGUGGGCUUGAGAAAAUGGUAAAGUUAAAGGCAAGUUAAUUAAAAUUUAACAAAAUAUUUAUAUUUUAUUUAUGAAUAGUAUAUAAAUAAUUAUAAAAUUUAUAUACCUAGUUUAUCGGUUCGAUUUGGUUAUUUUUGCGGUUGUUUUUUAGUAAAACAAAAACCAAACCAAAUAGUAUCGAUUUUCAAAAUUUAAAACCAAAUCAAACCAAAUAUCCAAAAAAAAAUUAUUGAUUUAGUUUGAAUUACAGUUUGAUUUGAUUUUUUAACCAUAACCAUGAAUAGCCUAUUCUCAACAUAUUAUUGAGAAGUUUUUAGUCAACAAUCUUUAAAAUAAUCUACCUUUUUUUCUUAGUAUGAGUUUUAUAUAUUAAAAUAUAUAAAAAUAAUAAUUAUAAAUCAAGUCAUGAUGUAAUUGCAAACAACUUUAUUUAACAACUCUGAUUUUGGGACCUAUAAUAAAUGAUAAACACCAUGAUAAGUUAGAGAGUUACACUAAUAAUACUCUAAGAAAUUCAACAUACUAUAAUUGUUUAUGACUUAAAUCUUCUCCUUUUUAAAAAGUGACAGAUCACUUUCACCUGCUACACGUUUUAAUACUUUUCACUUCAAAUAUUACAAGAAUCACAUUCAAUAUUUUGAUUAAUAUAUCAUUAUUGUGUUCAUAUUGGUUGUUGAAACUUCUUGUAUAAUUCUAAGAUGUCGCAUAUGCUUAUUCAUCCACGUUUGCCAUUUGGAACAUCAUGACAAAUCGAGGGUACUUUAUGUAAUGACUAGGAUUGAAUUAAAUUUUCUUUAUCUAAUUAUUAAAGAGAAAUAUAUUUUUUAAUAUUUUCGUAUCAUAAUAUUUCAUUAAUUAUGUCUCACGUUCUUAAAGAAUUUAUGUCCUAUUAUGCUUAAUUCGAUUUCUAAAAUCAAAAAGUAAAAGUGAACCCAUAUGAAGGACAAAUCAUACCAUUAAAUACUAUUACCGAUAAUUCCUAUGAAGCAGGCCAAUCUGUAUCUAACUAAACCAACCCAAUUUAAAAUUUGUCCAAACAAUACCCGAGUUAUUAAAAAUAUUUAAAAGGAAGUUUCUUUAUUUUUCGUAAUUGGAUAAAGUUUCUACUAUAUAUGCAUUGGAAAAAAAGAGAGGCGUUAUAAUGCAUAUAAAUAUUAAACGCAGAAAGCUUAAUUUUCUCCAACUACAAACGUCAUAGAGAAAACUUCCCAGAAGAAGAGAACUGCUAAAUUUCUUCUUCUAUUGUGAAAAUGGGUUCUUUUUUCUCUAAACAAGUGCAAAGAAGAAAAUCAAUUCAUACUCAGAAAAAACUUUUGUAUGAUCUCAAGGAAAAAAAUAACACUGAUUUUCCUGGUUCUGAUUAUCACUCAGAUGAUCGAAAAAAUUGGAUGUCAACCCUCGUCCUAGAGAAACUCAACAUAAACAAGAUAAUUUGGCCCGGUACCCAUGAUUCAGCAACUAACAAAAUUGGGAUCCCAUUUAUUUCUCGCCCGUUCGCCCGAACCCAAUCUCUGUCCAUUUACAAACAGUUGGUAACGUUAAAUCGUGUGAUCAAUCUCUUUGAAUUUUAUUUUAUUUUUUAUUUACUUAAUUAUAUUUUUAACAGGUAAUGGGCACCCGAGUUCUUGACAUUAGAGUUCAGGAAGAUGGCCGUGUCUGUCAUGGCAUCCUAGUUUCUUACCAUGCUGACGUUGUGAUCAACGAUGUGAAGAAAUUCCUGUCGGAGACUCAAUCGGAGAUCAUAAUUCUCGAGAUCCGAACAGAGUUUGGACACGAUGAUCCACCGGAAUUCGACAAGUACUUAGAGGAUCAAUUGGGGGAAUUUCUUAUUCACCAAGACGACUCUGUUUUCAACAAGACAGUAGCAGAGUUAUUGCCGAAAAGAGUAAUAUGUGUUUGGAAACCAAGAAAAUCACCUCAGCCAAAACAUGGAAGUUCAUUAUGGAGCGCUGGGUAUUUAAAGGACAAUUGGAUUGACACUGAUUUGCCUGAAACAAAAUUCGAGAGCAAUUUGAAAUAUUUGAGUGAGCAGCCAUCGGUAACAUCCCGGAAAUAUUUUUACAGAGUGGAGAAUACGGUGACGCCUCAGGCUGAUAAUCCGGUGUUGUGUGUGAAACCGGUGACGAAUCGGAUUCGUCCAUAUGGGAGGUUGUUUAUAAAUGAGAGUAUUUCUAGAGGUUAUGGUGAUCGGUUACAAAUAUAUUCAACUGAUUUUAUUGAUGAGGAUUUUGUGGAUGCUUGUAUUGGACUUACAAAUGCAAGGAUUGAAGGCAACGUGACUUUGAGUACAAGGUGAAGAUUUGCCAUGCUUUCCUUCAACUAAUCGUACGUGUCAAUUUAUGUUGUUUCAUUAAUAUGUGGUUGUUCCGUGUUCGUAUGUAUUUUAAUUAUUAUUAAUUACCACUUGUUACUAGGUAAAAUAAUGUUUGCUUAUGAAUUUCAGAUUAUAUAUGUUGUUAAAUUGCGUGUAAAUGAAUUUAUUGUAAGUUGUACUGAAAUUCCACAUUAUUUGGAAGGAUAAGAGUAAUCAAAGUUUUGAUGAGAGGAGUAUUAGCAAGGAAACAAAAAUUAUAAAAGAGAAUUUAUGAUUUAUCUUAGUAGCUUUUGUUUGUUGUUACUACUAGUUGAUAGACAUGGUACAUAUAACACUAUAUAUUUUGCAACUCUUACUUUAGAGCACGGUCUGGAUUUGCGCAUUGAAUAGUCUCACUCAAAUAAAAUCGAUACUUGAUUGCGUUAAUGUGGGUAAGAUUUCAAAAAAUGUAAAGUUGGAUAAAAAUGAUAGGUAAGUAGGUAGCUACACACCUUAUUGAAUUGGACCCCCAAUUCAAUAAGUAGCUAGUAUAUUUAUGUUGACUUGAGGCAUGAACCCAACUAUAUAUGCCUGAGUUUAUGUUGCUACAAUCAAUCAAUAUAUAUGUGUUAUAACUGUUUUUUUUAAAUACACUAUGGUUGUUUGGUAAGAAAUUGACAUAUUGUAUUAUAAGGUGUAAUUAAAAUGUGUGAUAAAUGUAUUAUCGAUCAAUAAAAACUUGCAUUAUAUGUGAAUAAUAAAUUGUUCUUUGUAAUAUGUAUUAAAAACAGUAUUAUAAAUAUAUUAAAAGUGAUCAAGUGAAAAAAAAUGUUAUUGCUAUAAAUGGUAAAUAUUUUAUUAAUAUACUAGUAUAUUUAUGAAGUUUCCUUUGAUGGAUUAUCCUACUUCACUUGUCUCAUAAACAUUUUUUCAGAAUCUUAUCAUUCCUCCUUGCUAAUGCAUUGACUUAGGGUCCAUUAAGCCAUGCGAUAUAGAAUCAUGAUAUGAAAUCAUAAUAUUAAAUCAUGAUAUGGAGUUGGAGUUUUGUUUGGAUAUGGGAUAUAAAAUUUUUGUAUUGUAUAUUUUUUCAUAAACAUAAAAAUCUCAUAAGUUGUGAAACUAUCUUACCAAAUAAAAAAAAUUAUAACAUCGCAUAAUAAAUUAUUACAAAGUUAUUUGUUCUCCACUUUAAGAAACUGUUUCAUCUAACUUUAAUUUAUCAAACUUUAAUUCUAUUAAAAAAUAAUUGAACAUAAUUAAUUGUAAUGUACUACUCUUUAAUAUAAUCCUCCACAUAGUAUGAACAAUCUCCUCACGUUGAACUUGCAUUUCUCGAUCAUAUGACCGAGAAGACGAACCAACAUUGUUACGUUUGAGCCAUUUGUUGGUCAAUAUCAUUCGCAACUAUAUUUUCAUGCUCAUAGACUAUAACUAUUUUAUCACUUCUUUGAUAAUCUCGCAAAUAAUUAUGUAACACUGUAAAAGCUAUGACAAUUUUCACUUGUGUGUCAAUAUCAUAAUGGUUCAUGCCUUGUUUCACUUGUGUGCAAUUACACAUUUUCUGUGCAUUAAUUUCGUGUUAAAAUCAAACAUAUUGGAAGUAGUGAUUAUCAAACAUACAUCACCAAUUUUGUAAUUUUUCAUAUUAAAUUGCUUUAAAUAUUUUCAUAUGUAGCCGAAAGAGAAGUUUUUUUAUUAUGAAAAACCAAAAAAGUAUUACUCCCUCCGUUCUUAUUUAUAUUCACCAAAUCAAUUCCUACUUUAUCAUUUAUAUUCACCAAAUUUAAAGUAAUAAUAAAUUUUAUGUUGGUGAGAAUAAUAAUUUUUAAAAAGUAAUGAUGUGAUUAUAAAUUUUAUUUACAUAUGAAAUAAAUGGUUAGUAGAUAUAAAUGUGUGGUUGUUUUAACAAAAUAUAAACUUGUGAGUCGAUUUUUGUAUUUAAAAAAUCUCAAAUCAUGAUAUGGAAUUCUCAAAUCAUGAUUUUUGGAGAAUAUGAGAUUCUAUCUCAUGAUAUGAUCGCAUGUCCAAAAGUUGAUUCUAUCUCACAAUUUCAUACUGUGAUAUGGUAUCGUAGGGCCAAACCCCACUUAAAAGAGUAUAACUUUGUCGCAUCAUUAGAUUAGAUAAAUUUACAAUAAUAUGUAGCUAUUCAUAUCAAAUGACAUGAUAACAUAAAAUAUAAAAUAAUAACCUUUAUAACUAAUUAAAUCAUAUAAUGGUUUAAAAAAAUGCUUUAGAACUUCAAUUUUUUGUGUUCGAACUGCAGAGGAUUCAUAUAGGGAAACUUCCAUAAAUAUAUAAUUCCAUUCUUCAUUUAUAGUAUUUUCAUGGGUUUAGGAGAUGAAUGUGACCAAACCAUAAAGAUGGGCUGGAAAGCUGGAAGCCCAAAUUUAUUUCGCCUAAAUGCAUCUGUGCUUUGAAAUUAUAAUCUCUAUUUUGUUACAAAUCCAUUUAAUAUGGAUGUUUCUUUAAGGUAGUAAACAGAUGAUUUCUACCUCUUAUAAAAGGGUCUUCUUCACCCUUAAGAAAUACACAAUUGAAGAGAUUAAAAUAAGGCUCUCAACUUUAUACUUUCCAUCACACUUUGCCUUACUUUCUUGUUUAAGUAUUCUUGCAUUUUCCUCUUGUUUUACAACAUAUUUUAAUUUAUUUGUUUUAGUUACUAUUUGGAUAGUAAUAAUGAUUUUUUAAAAUAUUUUUUAAACAUGUGAAUUUUAUUCCUUUUUUUAAAAAAUAUAAUAAAUUUUAAUUCAUAAAAUUAUAAUUAAUUUAAUCCUAAUACUUUAUAAGCCAAACAAAUUAAAAGAAAGAGAGUAUUAAAUUUCUAGUUGCAAAAUGUUUGAGUAUAAUCUCAUCUGACCUGUUACAAUUUGACUAUUAAGAUCAUAAAAAUCUCCUAUAUUUUACGUAUCAAUCCCAUCUCCUAGAAAAUGAAACAUAUAGUUUUGUACCUUUUCAAGUCCCGGAUUGGACUUGUAAAAUAUAUCAUAUUGUCACAUUUUCUUGGAUGAUAAUUCUCAUAAUUGUUGUUAAAUUCUCCAAUUGCCAUCUGGCUCAUGCCUAACCAGCCAACUGGAAAAAUAAUAAAAUCAAAUUCAAUCCAAAAAUCAUAAAAUAAAAUAUUACUAACAAUUGUGACUUUCUAAAUUUGUAUCAAUAAUUCCAAUGAAGCCGACCCCUCAGUAGUUAAGACAACUGGACCAAUUCACUUUGAAGACAUGUCAACACAACAUGGAUAUUAAAAAUAUUGAAAAGGAACUUGCUUUAAUUGUCAUAAUAAUUGAUGUAUUAGAAAAAGGAAAAAAAAGGCGUUAUAUUAAACGCAAAAAACUUAAAUGCUUUCCAACUAUAAACAUUAGAGAGAAAGAAAAAAGAGAUUGUAUUUCUUUUUGAGGUAUUGUGAAAAUGGGUUCUUUUUUGUCUAAACAGAUGGAAAGAAGAAAAGCAAUUAGUACUCAGAAGAAACUUCUUUGUGAUCUCAAGGAGAAAGAUAGCACCGAUUUCCCUGGUUGUGAUCAUUGCCCAGAAGAUAGGAAAAAUUGGAUGUCAACACUUGCCCUCGAUAAACUUCACGUGAAUAAGAUGGUUUGGCCUGGUACACAUGAUUCAGCAACUAACAAAAUCGGGAUCCCAUUUAUUUCUCGCCCUUUUGCCCGAACACAAUCUCUCUCAAUUUACAAUCAGCUGGUAAUGUUAAAUUGUGCGAUCAUCUUACUACUAAGUUAUGUGAUUAUGGAGUACAUUUUUAUUUACUGUAUGUUUUUGAUUGAUAGGUAAUGGGCACCCGUGUUCUUGACAUCAGAGUUCAAAAAGAUGGUCGUGUAUGUCAUGGUAUUCUAGUUUCUUACAACGUUGACGCUGUGAUCAGCGAUGUUAAGAAAUUCCUGUCGGAGACUCAAUCAGAGAUCAUAAUUCUGGAGAUCCGAACAGAGUUCGGACACGAUGAUCCACCGGAAUUCGACAAGUAUUUAGAGAAUCAAUUGGGGGAAUUUCUUAUUCACCAAGACGACUCUGUUUUUAACAAGACAGUUGCAGAGAUAUUGCCAAAAAGAGUAAUAUGUGUUUGGAAACCAAGAAAAUCACCUCAGCCAAAACAUGGAAGUCCGUUGUGGAACGCUGGGUAUUUAAAGGACAAUUGGAUUGACACUGAUUUGCCUGAAACGAAAUUCGAGAGCAAUAUGAAGCAUUUGAGUGAGCAACAACCGGUGACAUCCCGGAAAUAUUUUUACAGAGUGGAGAAUACGGUGACGCCUCAGGCAGAUAAUCCUGUGUUGUGUGUGAAACCGGUGACAAAUCGGAUUCGUCCACAUGCAAGGUUGUUUAUAAAGGAGUGUAUUUGUCGAGGUUAUGGUGAUCGGUUACAAAUAUAUUCAACAGAUUUUAUUGAUGAAGAUUUUGUGGAUGCUUGUAUUGGGCUUACAAAUGCAAGGAUUGAAGGCAAGCUCUGAUGAUGUCAAGCUCUUAUUCUUUCCUAUUCCAGUUCUGCUUCAAGAAUAUUAUUAUGAGAAUUGAUUUCUUAGAUAAUCAUAGUUAUUAUCUCAGAAAAUCACUUUUGUUCUUAAUUCUAGUUUUCGACAACAAAGUAAGUGAUUUAUGAGGUAAGAAUUAUUAGUUGAGUGAUUGUUCGAGAAGUUUGACUCAAGAAUUAUCAGUUGUGUGUGUGUAUAAUUUUCAGUGUACUUAUUAAAUUCAUGUGUGUCUAUGUAUUGUUUUGUUACCACUUGUUACUUUGUAAAAAUUGCUUGGCUUGGAAUUUGAGAUUCUUAAAUGUAGUGAAAUUGUAGGUAAACGAAAUAAUAGGUAAGUUGUACUGAAAUUCACAUUGUUUGGAAGGAUAUGUAUUUUACACAAUUUACGUACAUGAGUAGUUUUUCACUAUUAGAUUAUUUUAAAAGAUAAUUACAAGUAAUGAUUUCUAAAUAGUGAGAUUAGUAAACUGAAAAAUAAGAACAAGUCAAAAUACACUUGACAAUGCGCCUAUAAUAGUACUGCGCAGUAAGUGUGGUGCCGGCCGACUAGUAAUUAGUGGUCGAUGUAUAUAUAUAAGUUAAAAAUAAAACAUAAGAAAAACAAUAUUCUAAAGUUUUCUCAAAUACGGCAAGAACGGAGUAAUAUAUUUCAAUUUCCUGUCACUUUCCAAUCUAUAUAUAUAAAGCUAGAUAAUAAAAGAGUGAUGUGGCACCUCUCAUUAUCCGGCAUUUACAUUUAUCCUUUUUCUGGUUUUUUUGGAUUUUUUUUCAAUUGUUUUUUUUUUAAUCUUUUUCUUUAUUUCUUAUAUCAAGUUUAAUGUUCAGAUGCCUAAAAGACCCUAUUAAAGAGGCAAACAUUCACGUAGUAAAAGUUGUCAUCAAUUCGCUUAAAUUUUUGGCUACUACUCCCAUUCUUUACCUUUUCAAUAGCAUUUAAACUGUCAUUAAUGUGAUUAUCCAUGGGUUAAUACCUCAGAUGGUCACUCAACUAUCCACUUUUGCCUCAGAAAGUCACUCAACUUUUAAUUUUCACUAAAAAGUCACCAUGUGAGUGACUUUCUGAGGAAAGACUGGAUAGUUGAGUGACUAUCUGAGGUAUUAACCCGAUUAUCCAUUAUAAACUGAUUUAGCAUUUUGUAUUCCAUGACCUGUGCCCUUUGGCAAUCAACUAGAUAUAUAUAUGGUAAAGUGAAGAGCAGAGUCUCCCACUCCAUAAUUUUUCGAGGGAAAUAUAGAGAGGCAAUACACAACUAUUACUAUCUAAAAUCUGAUUUUCCUUUUACCAUCUUGAUUGAGAUAUUGUGUGGAACAAAAGGCAAUUCUUGCCUAUGUUUCAAUAGAUUUUUUAGUGACCGUGCGAAGCGCGGAUAAGUUUCCUAGUUACCAAAUAAGCACAAGAAGAUAUUUAUUACUAACAUUCAGCAGCUUAUGCCGUGUGUCCCAAUUCAGUUCACAUCUAUAGGGCCAGAAGAAGAUUAUUGUAAAGAAAAAAUAUUUAUUUAUUAUGUAUGAUUGACAUAAAUGAUGAAAGUUAGGUGCUAAAGAGUGAUUGACGCCCAUUAUUUUUAUCCACGAACCCAAAUGAGUGAUGCACGAAAAAAUGAGUUUAUGAAGAAACUCUCUAAGCUGUCCUGGAAAAUCAAUUUUAUGGUGAAAAAAGUUUCGAAGUAACAGUAAAGUUAUGUAAUUUCAUGAGACAUAUGUAGGUUAUGAAUUUGAGUUGUGCUUACAUUAGAAUACAAUGUCUACAUCACACUCCUUGAGGUGGGAUUCUUUCCUGAACCUAUUAACGUGGAAUGCUUUGUGCACCAAACUUUCUUUUUAAAAAUAAAUGUUCUUUUAGUUGUACCGUCAUUUUCACGUGAGAACUUUGGUAUGUUCAUUUCUCUUAAGUCUGUCACCCCACCUAAACCAGACGGAAUUAAUAAUUAGGCAAAUGAUUCUACUUAGUCUAUGAUUUUGUCGACCAGAAAUUAGCUUCUUUUGGCAGCAAAUAUGAAGAAAAUGUCUGGUAAUUAUUGAAAAUUUUGACAACUUCAAGGUUAUCGAUACCUUUUACCGACAACUAAGUAGGCCAUUACAAAAUUAAGCUUCCUUCAAUAGUACUAAUAUAUACAAAUAGGAAAUAUAGAACAAACGAAUUGCAACAACAUUUUAUUGGAAAACAAAUGCAAUGAUUAACGUAGAAGCGAUAUUUAUGAUCAAACGCUAGCUCAGUAUUUUAAUCAAAUUCAGUAGAAUCAAUUAUACACAUUCUUGAAGAAAACACUUUUUGAUAACCAACUCUUAUUAUCAGUAAGAUUGUGUGUAUCUCGAUUAAAUAAAAAAUCCCACUUACUUGAUAACUAGAGCUGUCAAAAUGGGCUGGCCUAACUCAACCCAACCCAACCCUAACGGGCUAGAGAGUUAAAUGGGUUGGGAUGGGCUGACCCUUUUAAUUGAAGGGCCUAUAAAAUAGCAGCUCAACCCAGCCCUAAGCGGGCCAGCUCAACCAAAAAACGGAUAACAUUUUCCUCGUAGAAACAAUACGAACGCUGAUGAAUUACACAUACUUCAGUGAAUAUUUACAAAACAAAUACAUAAUAGCCACGAUACAACAUUCAUAAGUUUCAUCCGAGCAAAAAACAUUACAUGAUCACUAUUUUCAUAAACAAGACGAUAAAGGAGAAGUGAAAAAUUAGGCAUAAAAACAAAAGUAAAAGAGGUCAAAGAUUCUUAGUUUAUAAUGGACUUGGGCUAAUAAGAAAAUUUAGUGGGUUAAUGACCCUAAAAUGUAAAAGAUAUGUAAAAAAAUAUAGUCUUGAUUUUAUAUUGGUAUUUUAAAAUUAUUUAUUGACAAAAUCUUAACAAGUAAAACACUACUAAAAAUAUAUAUAAUAAAUAUUUUUAAAAUUCACAGCCCGCGAGCUGGCCUCUGAGGCUGCGGGUUGGGCCUACGAGGCCAGCUGGCCAAAUGAGGCUGGGCUAAAAAGCCUCGUUCCUAAAUGUCCUGGAAAAUUGAGUCUAACCUCAUCUAAUUCAAGGGUUGGGUUGGGCCAGCCUAGCGGGCCAAGCCUAUUUUGACAGCUCUAUUGAUAACACAUGGAUUUCUUCUUUGACAAGACAUAAUAAUUUUUAUUUAAGAUGUUGUCCAAUGCUUCAUAUGUCUAAUCCUAAACGUUCAAAGAUUCAAUUUAUAUAUAGUAUGAGUACCAGAUCUGUUCCAAUUAUUUAUAUAUAGUCCAAUUCUAUGCAUACAGAGUUUUUCAAAUUACAUAGAGUAAGUACUUUGUUGAGAAAUGUAGUGUUGACAUAUUUAUAUAAUUUUGUACAAUGUACAGUUUAUAAUUUAAUUAGUUUUUCUUCAAUAGAACUCUUAAUACGUUUUUAAUCACAUACACAUUCAUGAUACUCACUUUACUCUUUCAUAACUACCUGAUCUUCUAAUUUUUUUAUUUAUUUUUGAGUAUAAAAAUUAAAAUCAAAUAUAGUCCCACAUAUUUUUUGAACAAUAUUAAACAGAAAACAAAAUGGAAAUGAAAAUGAGACAAAUUUAUCAUAAAUUAUAUUGGAAUCAUGUAUAAUCGAUCAGUGUAUACCUAGUAAGUCCAACUGGCUAUUUGUGUAAUAAUUCUAGUAGAAUGCCUAAUAAUGAAGAGGCCCAACGUUAAGGCCCAAAUGUAUUAUGCACCGGGGAAACUUACAUAAAUAUACUAUAUUAGGAAAAUAUUUACCAGUUAUUGCAAUAACAAUUUUUUUUCACUUGAUCACUCUCAAUACAUUUAUAAUACAAUUUUAUUAAAUAUUAUAGAGAACAAUUUAUAAAACACAUAUAAUACCAGUUUUAUUGAUGGAUAAUACAUUUAUCACAUAUUUUAAUAUAAUGUGUCAAUUUCUUACCAAACAAUCAUAAUAUAUUUUAAAUAGGUUAUAAUACAUAUAUAUUGCAUACAUAAUUCACUUUUAAUACAUCUUGCAGUUUAUCAUAAUAUUGCUAUGUAUUGUUAUAAAUGAUAAUAAAUAAAAAGUAUCGCUAAAAUCAGUUAUUAUAUAUUAAAAGGUACCCAUCCAAUUAAUUUUUUCCCUCCGGAAAAGCGUGCAGAUGGCCCAUAAGUUUGGUUCAUUUCAUUUCGCAGGAAACAAUUGUUUUUUUUUUAAUUUCUGAGAAAUAGUUGUAUUUUAUUUUUCAAAAGUAAAAAUAUAAUUGAUUCUUGUUCAAAAUAAUUCUUUUAAAACGAAAGUAAAUGUUUUUCCUUAAAUCAAAUGCAUUAACACAUUAUUUUCCACACAGAAGAAAAAAAACUUGUUUACUACGUUUGUCGUCAUAAAAGACAAAUCAACUUAUUUUUUUCCACCUUUAAUUAGAGGUUUCAAAUUUAAGUCUGGAAAUGAAAAAAUUCCUAUAAGGAGCAGCGCCUAUAGAAAUGUUUGAAUCUAAAUUUAGUUAAACCCUAAUACAGAUACCAUGCAUUAAACAUACAUGAAACAAAAACAAAAAAAAACUCAUUUAUGAUUUUAUGUACUUUCUUUUGUACCAAUAUCUCAUAAUUAUAGCUAAGAUCAAUCGCAUGUUGGAAAAGAGUACACAUAGUGAAAUGCGAACCCAAUCAAAUAGUUGAAAUCCAUUGAAUGCAUCAAAUAGUAUAAUGAAAUUAUGUUUCCAAUUUAAGUACUAACGUGGCUUAAACGUUAGAUACAUAAUAUAUAGGCAUUUCUCUAAAGAUAACUAGACAGUGAGCUGCAUAAAAUGUAAGGUGGAAGAAGUGGUUAUAAGCUGCUUGAUGACUAUCCAAAAUUAGAAAUAUGUACUCGUGACGGUUUCAAUUUUUGUGGCACUAUUUGACCUGAUACAAAAUUUAAGAAUAAAAAAACAUCUAAAAUUUGUACUUGUGAAUUUGAAUCUUUCCAGUAAGGGUAAAACACUACAAGAAAACAAGGAAUUAGCCACAUACAAAAUUUCACAACUAAACAACAAAAUGUCAAGCAAACCUCAUUUAGUGAUGGAUUAUAUCAAAAUCCAAUUAGCUAGGAGAUAUUUAGCGACAUAUUAGUAGGAUUUACUAAUAAAUUCCGUUCAUAAUUCUAUAUUUUUGGAAAUAAAUUGUUUCCAACUCUAGAAAUAUAGUAUACUUUUUGGAACUGACAAAAUAAAUCACAUAAAUGGGAUAAAAAAAGUAUUAUUUUUAUGACCAUUAUGAACUAAAUAAGGAAAUAAAAGAAAAUUAAUCUCAAUAAAAAAUAUCAAAAUCUAUUGGUUGCAACUUAUAAGUUUGUCCUAGAAGUGUCCAAAAAUCUGAACCUUCUUUGCAGUUUCCUAAUGAUGCUAAACUUAAUUUAACCUAAAAAGGGGGACUCCAUUGUGAGAUCACAAGUAUAUAUGUAUGUACUUAAAACCUCUCAAUUCUCAAUCACCCUGAGUUUUUAAUUCUUGUGGACAAAUAUAUAUUUUUGAAAAACAUUAGUGUAAUUACCAAGUCUGAAUACUUCACAAAAAAGUUUAACUAAAUUAUGGGCACUGAUAUAUGGUACAUAAAAGGGUGAUCAAUUAAAUACCUUUCAUUAGAAAAUAGGUAACAAAAUUAUAUAGUAAUAAAAAGAUACAGUCACACAGAAAAUAACUUGCUACAAUCGGUUAAAGCACAUAGAUUGUUUAAUUUUUUUUGCACUAUUAAUGUAUAUAAAAUAAAAAGUAUGUCUCAAUCCACGAAUAAGUUAGAAUCGGCUAUAUAAAUCUUUCCUUCUCCAUUUAAGCUUAUUACAUAUCAUGAUCAUAAUUAGAAACAAAACUUAUUAUUUAAUCUAACUCAUCAUAUAUGUUACGUGCGACGAUAUAGCAAAUAUAAUCAAUUUAAAUCUAAGUUAAUCUUGUAUGACGUACUGCAUAUCCAUCUUAACAUGAGUAGUUCUACAACACUUAUUUUGUGAAUAUAUUAGACGUUAGUAUAAUAUUCAGUGUCAUAUAACAUUAUUAGAGUAUAUAAAAUCCUUCACGAAAUAAAUGAAACAAGUAGUAGGGGGGAUAUUGACAAUGCAAUGACAAUGGAACAAAAUUCCAAAUCCAUAUUAUACACGAUAGAUGUUUCAUUUUCGAAUUGCACAUAAAUGUUUGGACAAUGAAGCUCCUAAUGUGAUAUCUCAUGAACAUUUAAUUUAAUACACCUAACAAAACAAAGUUCAAUUAUUGCACUAAUUAUAACGAAUGUUCUCAUAUUAUAAAGUACAAUAAUCAUAAAUCAUGAUGCAUCAUGCAUAUCCUUGUACUUGAUGUUACAAAACCAUAGUAGCCUUUUUCUUGUUCUAUUGCAAAAAACAUUAUAUAUAUGUACGUACACAAUAUAAUGCACCAUGCUUAAUGUUGAUAAUAAUUACACGCAAAGAGUUGAAACAUAUACAUAGCUAGCGUUUGGCCGCAAGUUCUCAAAUAUUUUUGGUAAAUCAUAUUUGAGUGAAGUUUUUGGUGAAGUUUCACUAUGUGUGUUUGGUCCCAAAUUUUCCCAAAAAUAUUUGACUAUUUCAAAAAAAUAUGAUUUAUAUCCAUAAGUUCUAAAAAAUAUUAAAAAUACGCAUAAAUUUAUAUUAUCAUUUUAUAAUGAAUAUGUUCCGUUAAAAAUAGCCUUAUAACAUAAUUGUUAACAAUCAAAAAUAACAAAAUAACAAUAUAGGUAAGACAAUACAUUAAUCGCAUACUCAAACUUGUCUGAUUAAGUUAUAAUUAUAACUCAUUAAACACAAAAUGUUCCUUUUUUCUUAAUUUUAUCACUCAAAUUAAAACUCAAACUUCUUCGGAGGCGGUAGUAACAAAUAUUAGUUGAAAUUAAUAAAUAAUGAGUAUUUUUUUAUAAAAUAUAAAAGUAGUAAUUUUUAAAAUUCUCAAAAACUAGAACUUGGCCCAAAUACUAGUUUUUUCUACUAUUUGAGAACUCGGGAUACUUGACAAAUAUAUUUACCAAGUUAUAUAACCAAACACCACGUCUCAAGUUUUCUCCAAUUUUUUCUCAAAUUUUCCCCAAGUAUUCUUAGGGCCAAAUGAGUCCAUAGUUUUGUGUUGUAGCUGUCCAGUAAAUCUGUAAUACGUGCAUUUGUGUUACGUUUUUUUAAAAAUUAAAAUUAAAAAUGAAGGCUCUCCAAAAUGGUAGAGUUAAUUAAAAUCGUGUAUGACAUAAUAUACGAUACUAUACUCAAUGUAAUCUCACAAGUAAUGUUUGAGAAAGAUGGAAUGUAUGCAAAUUUUACCUCUGUCUUUGUGGGAUGGAGAGUUUAUAGCAUAACUUACCAUACGUAUAAACUGUAUGAAAAUAUCACUUUUUAGAAAAUCAAAUUAUUAAAUUUUGAUCAUAAUAAUUACGUAUAGAUUAUGACAACGGCAUAAAAUAUAUUAUCAGUUACAAUAAUUGCCAACUUAAAAUAUUUAAUAGGUAAAAACAUUGUUGUAAGAAAACCUCAUUUGACUAUUGAAAUUUCAAUUUUGUCAUAUAAAUUGAAAUGGAGAAGGUAAAAUGGAUGUUUUCUUAAUAUUUAACUUUCAAUAAUUUUUAUUUUUUCUAACUUAUGUGGCACAAUUUGUACUCUUAGUCUUGUGAGACAAUUUUAAAAUUUGAUCAUAAAUUUGGACAUGAAAUUUUUUAAGUUUUUAAAAACAAAUUUAUAUAGUUGGCAACUAUGUAAAACAUACUACUAAUAGUCAUAAUUAUUGAUAAUUUAAAAUAUUUAAUAGACAUAUUAAAAAAUUCUUUUGCCGUUCGACAUUCAAAAUGUGUUAUAUAAACUGCGGGUAAAAUAAUAAUAGCUGAAUAAUUCAACUAAAUUAUUUUGCAAAUAUUCCGUAGUACUAAGAGUAAUCGGCAGAGAUAUUUCUCAAUCCUAUGUUACGAAUACUUACUUACUACCAAUAUAUACCUUGGGUGUAGACAUAACAUGAAUAUGAAUUAGUCGGACCUCAAUAAUAGAUAGAGCGGUUACAAUAAUUGUCUGCUCCGUUACUUCCUAGCCAACCUUUUGACAUUCGCAUUCACUUAACUGAAAAAAUUGACAUUGUAAGAUAUCCAAUGGCUAAAAUGGUGACUCAAUUUCUUCGGCUACUACAAACAUUAAUUCCUAUAAAUAAGGUUGUAACGUCCAUCAAUUUUUUGUUUUCCAUUUUCAUGGAAAGCUAUAGAGACAUUUGCGUUUCACCAUUCCAAAACCCAUACUGAAUCAUCCAUCCCCCGCCGUCACCACUAUCACCACCUCCUGACCUCCGUUUCCGUUUAUGGCCAAUUUCAUCAUUUCCCUAAACCCCUCAUAGAAAGAAAAAAUAAAAGAUUGCACCUUUAUUAUUUUCUUUGAUUUAUCAAUAUUCAUUUUUUCGUUUGAGAAAAAAAAAUUAAUUGUCCGCUAUUACGAUGGCGGACAUAGUGAAACAAAUUCUAGCACGGCCAAUACAAUUGGCAGACCAGGUAACAAAAGCGGCUGAUGAAGUUUGUAAUUUUAAGGCAGAUUGUCUUGAAAUUAAAGCCAAAACAGAGAGGCUCGCCGCGCUGCUAAGACAGGCAGCGCGGGCGAGCAAUGACUUGUACGAGCGUCCAACGCGUCGAAUUAUUGAUGACACGGAACAAGUCUUGGACAAGGCACUUACUCUUGUAUUCAAAUGUUGUGCCAGGGGAUUGAGUCGGGUUUUCACGAUUAUCCCAAAUGCUGCAUUGAAGAAAACGUCACAACAGCUUGAGAAUUCAUGUGGUGAUGUUCAAUGGCUGUUACGUGUGUCGACUCCAGCGGAUGAUCGUGAUGAUGAGUAUCUCGGGCUUCCUCCAAUUGCAGCUAAUGAACCGAUUUUGUGUCUGAUAUGGGAACAGAUUGCAAUUUUGUGUACAGGGUCGUUAGAAGAUCGUUCUGAUGCAGCGGCUUCGCUUGUAUCAUUGGCUAGGGACAAUGAGCGUUACGGGAAGUUGAUUAUAGAAGAAGGUGGGGUUGCACCAUUGUUGAAAUUGGCUAAAGAAGGACGAAUGGAAGGUCAGGAGAACGCGUCAAGGGCUAUUGGUCUUCUUGGUCGAGACCCUGAAAGUGUUGAACAAAUUGUGAAUGCUGGUGUUUGUUCUGUGUUUGCGAAGAUUCUAAAAGAUGGGCAUAUGAAAAUUCAGGUUGUAGUGGCUUGGGCAAUUUCAGAAUUGGCUGCAAAUCAUCACAAAUGUCAAGAUCAUUUUGCUCAAGCAAAUACUAUUAGGCUAUUGGUUAGUCAUCUUGCUUUCGAAACAAUUCAAGAACAUAGUAAGUAUGCUAUUGCUACCAAACAACAGAACAUGUCGAUACACGCUGCUGCCAUGGCACAUUCUAAUUCUUCUGGUACUAGCAAAUUCAGUGACACUGGAGGUAAACUUGAAGAUGAUGACAAUAGAACUCAUAGUAAAAUUCUUCAUCCUAUGGAUAAUCAAACAACCAACCAAAUGCAUAGUUUGGUUACGAGCGCAAUGGCCUUGAAAUCCCAGGCACAGAAUGAGCCCAACAAUCCUAUAUCAAGUCCAAAUCAACAGCAGCAGCAGCGACAAAACCCGAAUCAGCAGAGGAGCCACCAUGUUGGACUGACAGGGACUAGCAUUAAAGGGAGGGAAUAUGAAGAUCCUGCUACAAAAGCUGAAAUGAAAGCAAUGGCUGCCAGAGCACUUAGGCAUCUGUGUGCAGGAAAUGUUAGCAUUUGUACUCAUAUUACAGAAUCCCGAGCUCUUUUAUGCUUUGCCGUUUUGCUAGAGAAAGGCCCUGAUGAAGUACAAUAUCAUUCAGCCAUGGCACUUAUGGAGAUCACAGGUAAGUGUAUCACAUUUAGCUAAUAAAAUUUUAGCCCGCCUAACAGAUGCGUUUAUAAAUCAAUGAAAAGUGAAGGUUGGAUUAUGAGCCAUUAUUUUACCUAACCAUGUUAUUGAUUGAAGGGAGUCCGUUUUAACCCUUGUGGAUUUAGCUCAACUCGUUCAUUUGACACUCCUAUAUGCAGGAGUUGCUGAGCUAAAUUCAGACUUGAGACGUGCAGCUUUCAAGCCGACUGCACCUGCUGCCAAAGCUGUGCUUGAUCAAUUUUUGAGAAUUAUAAACCUGGAAGAUUCAGAAUUGCUCAUUCCAAGCAUCAGAUCUAUAGGCCAUCUGGCCAGGACCUUUCGAGCAACGGAAACCAGACUCAUUGGUCCAUUGGUGGUUCUGUUAGAUGAUAGGGAACCAGAAGUAACUAGGGAAGCUGCAAUUGCACUGAACAAAUUUGCUUCCUCUGAUAAUUUCCUAAGAGUCGAUCACUGCAAGGCCAUAAUACAGGCAGGAGGUACCAAGCACCUAGUUCCACAUGUUUACUUUGGUGAACAAAUGGUUCAGGUUCCUUGUUUGAUUCUCUUGAGUUACAUUGCAACACAUGUUCCUGAUAGUGAGGCAUUAGCUGAUGACAAUGCACAUAUAGUGUUGGAGUGGGCUACAAAGCAGGGACACCUAAUGCAAGAUCCUACAGUUGAAGAACUAGUGAACCAAGGCAGAGAAAGCAUGGAACUUUAUCAGUCCAGAGGCUCACGCCUGUGAACCUAUCCAUUUGUAUAAUACGUCCCAAAUUUAGGUACUUCUUUAAACUUCCCUCUUUCAAUUAUAUUGGGAGUGUAUACAAUAUCUACGAGGUAAGGGUAAGAUCUGUGUAUACUCUACCCUCCCUAGACCCCCACAGGUGGAAUUACAAUAGGUAUGUUGUUGUCGUGUAUACAAGAUUAACACGUUAGUCAAUGUACAAGGUUCUCUAUGUGAGUCUGAUGCAAUAUGUUUUCUGCUUUUACCUUGAGUUUGAUUCCAAUUAUGCAAGUGUUAUCAUGGUUUAGGUUGAAACUCGAGGCCCUCUUUAUCAUGGACCAAAGUUGAUGAUAUCAAUUGUGUUAACAUAAACAAGACGCAUCUACCAAAUCGAAGAGCAAAUAGCGACACAGAUACAGAUUAGAAUUCUUGGAGCAGUCCAAGACGCUGGUUAGAGAUAGGUAAUCAAGACACAAAUGAACAAGACUGGUAGGUUUUGAUCCUGAAUUCAGUUUUGCUGCAGUCAAAUCUUUGUUUGAUUCAUUUCUUUUUCCUUGUUUACAUAUAGUUUUACUUUGGAGUUGGAGCAAUGGCCAGGAUGGUUGGAUUCGUGACCUCUUGAUUACUGAAAAUGUUACCUCGACAUCUUUUUAGAAUACAUAGAUGUAAUUCAUUCCCACUUUUUGUAACUCGCAAUGUGAAUGUCACAUUACGCUUAUACUGAAUUUUGCACUUGUACUAUAUAGUUAGAUCAUGUACAUUUACCCCAUGAAAAAAAGUGAAACUUGCUACUAUGGCUCAUACUAUUACGACUUAAUGGUGUUACUGAACUAACCAUAAAUGAUUCUCCAAUCAAAUACUAAAUGUCAAAAGUAAAGAUCUUGCUUUUAAAAUUCCCUUCAAUACGUAGUCAAAAGUUAUUCCAUAGCUAGAACCACUCAAUAAAUAUCUCCAGCGAAUAGAACCUUAUACAACAACAGCAUAAAAACAAUGGUACAUAACCAUUUUAUUAAAGCCAUAAACAAAAGAAGUAACAAUAAUAGACCCAAGGGGUCAUUUCCAACAUUAACUGGAGAUCACACACAAAGAUCCAUUUCAAUGAACGUAAUUUAGCAAUCAUAAAAAUGGAUAUGAAACUACGAACUGAAGAAUUAAAGAGAGAAUUAAGCAGCUGCUUAUAAAUUGAUAUUGCUUCGAAACCAUGUAUGUUUUUACUUGUACAGAGAGUAUCCAUUGCAUCAUCAUCGACAAAAAUAAGACUCCCCAAUACUUAAAAGCUUCAAAUGAAAUGAAACUACUAAAGAGCAGAAAAUAAAAACCAUAAGCCACGAAACACUACAGAUAGGUACCAAAAACAGAACGUAAAUGAUAAAACAUAGCAGGCCUACAAAGCCACGAUCACUGACCACCACUAGUGCAUUCACGGGCAAAGUGGCCGUCCUCCCCACAUUUGUAGCAACCACCACCUCGUCCACCACCGCCGCCGCCACGGCCACCGCCUCCUCGGCCACCACCUCCGGAGUAUCGACCACCACCGCCGCCACCACCUUCACGUCUGNNNNNNNNNNNNNNNNNNNNNNNNNNNNNNNNNNNNNNNNNNNNNNNNNNNNNNNNNNNNNNNNNNNNNNNNNNNNNNNNNNNNNNNNNNNNNNNNNNNNNNNNNNNNNNNNNNNNNNNNNNNNNNNNNNNNNNNNNNNNNNNNNNNNNNNNNNNNNNNNNNNNNNNNNNNNNNNNNNNNNNNNNNNNNNNNNNNNNNNNNNNNNNNNNNNNNNNNNNNNNNNNNNNNNNNNNNNNNNNNNNNNNNNNNNNNNNNNNNNNNNNNNNNNNNNNNNNNNNNNNNNNNNNNNNNNNNNNNNNNNNNNNNNNNNNNNNNNNNNNNNNNNNNNNNNNNNNNNNNNNNNNNNNNNNNNNNNNNNNNNNNNNNNNNNNNNNNNNNNNNNNNNNNNNNNNNNNNNNNNNNNNNNNNNNNNNNNNNNNNNNNNNNNNNNNNNNNNNNNNNNNNNNNNNNNNNNNNNNNNNNNNNNNNNNNNNNNNNNNNNNNNNNNNNNNNNNNNNNNNNNNNNNNNNNNNNNNNNNNNNNNNNNNNNNNNNNNNNNNNNNNNNNNNNNNNNNNNNNNNNNNCCCCCGCCGCCACCGCCUUCACUCUGGGUACACUCCCGAGCAAAGUGGCCUGAUUCACCACACUGAUAGCAGCCGCCUCCUCCACCACCUCUUCCACCGCCAUAACCGCCGCCGCCUCCUCCAUAGCCACCGCCUCCACCGUAUCCACGGUUACCUCCACCGUAGCCACUGUCUCCAUCACCGUAUCCACGGUUUCCACCUCGGCUACCACCAUAACCACCAUCUCUGCUACCACCAUAACCACCAUCUCGGCCACCUCCGCCGCCGCCAGAUCCUCCAGAGACCGGUGCUCCAUCAGGCCCGGUGACAUCAACAGCCUUGCUACGGCCAUCAUUGCCGGACUCAAUCACGUACUCUACUUCCUCACCAUCAGACAGGCUACGGAAACCCUCAGAUCUGAUUCCGGACUGGUGAACAAAGAGAUCGCUAGAACCAUCUUUAGGAGUUAUGAACCCAAAGCACUUCUCGUUACUGAACCACUUGACGAUUCCCUGGCACCUUUGUUCUCCCUCAUCCGCCAUUUUUUUACCUCACAAACAGAAACCCUAAAAACCCUUAGUAUGUGUUCCCUUUGGAAUUGUCACCGUGCCCUUUCACAACAAGGGGAUGCCUAUUUUAUAUACUAAUAACCUCACUGCCACCUUGCUGGGCCCAUCAACACAGUGGGCCAUAAGGUUAAUUUACAAUAAUUUCAUAUAAAAAUACAAACUGUCAAUUAAAUGUUUUACUAAUUUUUCAAAUUAUAUAUUUAUUUAUUUAUCAUCAGAAUAUAUUCUCAUACUCAUUUAAAAGGCAAGUUAUCAAUAACAUAUUUAAUAAAAUUUCCCUAAUUCAUUUAUAGAAAAAAAAUCUAAUUUUAUUUAAAUCAUAAUAAUUACCUCUCUCUUUAUUCUCCUUUUUUUGUUUCUUCUUUCUUCUUUUUUGUUGAUUUUUUUUCCUUAAAUCAUAUUAUUCGUUGGUUAUAUAAUCUGACUCAUAUAUAUUUUUACUUUUGACUUUUUUUCUUCUUUUUUUUUACAACUGUUUUGUCCUAUUUCAUAUAUAGAUUUUUGCUUUUGUUUUUUCAUUUUUUUAUUUUUUUUUUAUAACUCUUUUGUCCUAUUUCAUAUAUAUAUAUAUAUAUAUAUAUAUAUAUAUAUAUAUAUAUAUAUAUAUAUAUAUAUAUAUAUAUAUAUAUAGGCUGUUUUUGACAGAAGGAUAGGAAGGCAAUUUGGAAAUUUUACUUUAUAUAUUUCUCUGAAUUAAAGAGUACGAAGUGCAAUUAAUUUAUACUAUUUUAUAAAGUGCAAAAUUGCUUACUUUGUAAUUAAAAAAACUACUAGUAAAUAUUUACAUACAGCACAUAAAUAAAUAAAAUAUCUAGAAAAGUAAAGAAAGAAUCAGUAGAGGGGUCAUUAUUCCAAUGUGAUGAGGUAUAAAGUUGUUAUGCUGUGUGUGGAAAUUAUUCAGCUGAAAUGGACUUGUCAGCCCAAGAAUAAUAACAGAGCCCAUCACUGGCCCAAAUGGAAAAUUCCAACAUCAAGUGGAAUAUGCCUUACUAUUUGGAUUUGAGAAUUUCUCACAAAUAACGCUAAUAAUAUGAUAGGGUGUAUAUGGAACGGGUUGAUACGCAUUAUUCAAAUAUCAAAUUAAAUAAUUUAUGUAAAAUUAAAUUAAUAAAGUAUAGGUUUUCAACCUAGAGUUUUUUUUAAUUUCUCAUGUUAAUGAUUCAUACAAACAUAUUAUCAACUUCUAAACGGGUUGGUACGCAUUGUUCAAAUACCAAAUUAAAUAAUUUAUGUAAAGUUUAAAUUAAAUUAAUAUAGUAUAGGUUUUUCAACCUAGAGUUUUUUGGAUUUCUCAUGUUAAUGAUUCAUACAAACAUAUUAUCAACUUCUACUCAAAUAUUUGUUUAGUCUUAUCAAAAUACAACUAUAUUUUUAAAAAAACAACAUUAAGAAAAUAGCACAAAACAUGAUAUGAGUGAUCACUAAACAAUUUUAACAAAUAAUAAUAAUAAUAAUAAUAUUGGAUGAUAAAAUUAUUGAAAAUAAUUAAGUCAUAAUAAAAAUUUUAGGAUACUAAAUUAUUUGAAAAUAAAUCUACUAAACAGUAAUUACAUGACUAAAUAUUAAAGAAAAACUAAAAUAAGGUUAUAUAUUUUAAUUGUCUAACCCAAUUAAAAUAUAAAUGGUUUCUUUUAGUAUUAAUAUUAAUUUGAGCUUUACUAGAGUUAUUAAUAUAAAUGGAUUAUAUUUUAUUGGACCAUUCAAAUUCUAAGUUAACAUGAUUAUAUAUAUUCUUUAAAAAAUAUAUGAAUUAUUUAUAAAUUAUACCAAAGUAAAUACUUGUAUCUGUAAAAUAAAUUUAAAAUUAUAUAGAUAAUGUUAGGUUAGUUUAAUCUCGUGUUGACUAAACAAAAAAGGCAAGUGCCUAGCGCGAAAGGUUGUUUCACUAAGUAGGAUAAGGAAGAUGCAAGGACGUAGCUAUCGCGCGAAAGCCCUUUUAUUGUUCGUUAGCGCAUUUUGUUGAUUUUUGAAAGGAGCAAAGCGAACCUUAAGCUCAUUUUUUUCAGGCAUCUUUGAUAUCUUAAUUGUCAAACGCUAAGUUUUUGCUAUCAUAUAGAUCAAGUAAGCUUGAUUCUUAUUUUAUUUUUUUCUCAAUUUACGGUUUAAUACGAUUUUCAAUUUGGUUGCUUUCUCCCCUAUUUACCGUGAUAACAGUAAGCAAGUUUGCGAACCAAAUGAUAGCGCUCCUUGAAUCGGAAAUUUAUGGAAAACAGUUAUUGUGAUUCGUUUAAGGUUUUUAUACUCAUAAUAUACCAAUCUAUUUUUAAAAUUAAUCAAUUAUCUUCACAUGAAUGGUCGAAUCAACAGGUGAAUGAUACACAACAAUAAGUUUAAGCAUCAAUAUGAACUAUGAAAAUAGAACAAAAAAUUGCACAUCCAUUCACUUGAAACAUUCAAAAUUGUACAUGUAUUGAUUAGAAUUAUAUGGCAUACAAAUUGCACAAACAACUCAUCUAAACCUCUCUUGUGAUCUUCAUUCUUCACUCAUCGUUCAACACAUUAUUUUUGUCAAUUUCAAGCAUGAAUGACAAAGAAGCACAUAGAGAGAGAGGCCGACCGCAAAGAAUCAGGAAAAAGUGGGCUUGCUAUCAAUUUAGUUAAAACUCCAAAUGAGUUAAUUUGAUGGAAUGAAAUAUGACAUGCUAAGACUAAUUACCAAUUACAAAUUUAAAACACAACAAUCAAUAACUAUACCACUCCACGAGAUACACACAAGAGGAUAAAUUUAUUGGGAAUAUAAUAGAGUCAAAAGUUAUUCUUUGACUCAACCACUCCAUUAAUAUAUACUCCUUAGCGAAUAAAACCAAAUAACACUCAAGGACCUAUACCAAUACAAAUAACACUGCCUUCCAACAAAACACAAAACAUGAUGGACACAAAAAGGGUCAGUUCCAACUUUUUCCCAUACAUAAAAUGAAUUCAUCUCACCUAACAAAAUACAAUCAAACAUUACUGUAAACAAAAUAACUCCAUAGAACAAGUAGAAAUUAAAGGGAUAAAGAGUUUAGUAGCACAAUAAUUGAUAUUGCUUUCCAAAACAUGUAUGUGGACAUGUACAGAGAGUAUUCAUUGACGCACCAACAAAACUACAACUCCCCAUUACAAAAAGCAUGAUACUACUAACAACUAUCAACCAGUACAAAAUAAGAUAAAACAAGCAACACUAGAGAUAAUCCAGACUAACAGUAACAAUUAAGUACCGUAAACAUAACAACUUGAAAAUAGCAAAAAUCAAAAACACAGAGAUCACGAUCAAUGACCGCCGCUUGUGCACUCGCGGGCGAAAUGACCUUCUUCUCCACACUUGUAGCAGCCACCGCCGCCACCACCUCCACCGCCGCCAGNNN
rnacentral:lncRNA from 1 species